CUUUUUGCUCUCUUUGCUAUCCCUCGGGGUCUUGCCAAUUAUGACAAGCCUCCGGUUUACCAACCACCGGUCUACAAGCCCCCUGUUGAGAAGCCACCUGUGUAUAAGCCACCGGUAGAAAAACCUCCAGUUUACAAACCACCGGUAGAGAAACCACCAGUGUACAAGCCACCAGUUGAGAAGCCCCCCGUCUACAAACCUCCUGUAGAGAAGCCUCCUGUUUACAAGCCACCAGUAGAGAAACCACCAGUGUACAAGCCACCAGUUGAAAAGCCUCCGGUCUACAAACCACCUGUAGAGAAGCCACCUGUUUACAAGCCACCUGUAGAGAAACCACCAGUGUACAAGCCACCAGUUGAGAAGCCUCCGGUCUACAAACCACCUGUAGAGAAGCCACCUGUUUAUAAGCCACCUGUAGAGAAACCACCAGUGUACAAGCCACCAGUUGAGAAGCCCCCGGUCUACAAACCCCCUGUAGAGAAGCCUCCUGUCUACAAGCCACCAGUAGAGAAACCGCCAGUGUACAAGCCACCAGUUGAGAAACCCCCGGUCUACAAACCCCCUGUUGAGAAGCCUCCUAUCUACAAGCCACCAGUAGAGAAACCACCAGUGUACAAGCCACCUGUUGAGAAGCCUCCAGUUUAUAAGCCACCAGUUGAGAAGCCACCUGUGUACAAGCCCCCAGUCGAGAAACCCCCGGUCUACAAACCUCCUGUAGAGAAGCCUCCAGUUUACAAGCCACCGGUGUACAAACCUCCAGUUUACAAGCCACCAGUAGAGAAGCCACCUGUGUACAAGCCUCCGGUCUACAAACCCCCAGUUGAGAAACCUCCAGUUUACAAGCCACCGGUUUACAAGCCUCCAGUCGAGAAGCCACCAGUUUACGGACCACCUCACCACCCAUAGUACCCUCCCGUAGUUGGCACUACUCGUUUUUAAAGCAUGCUUUUAAGUAAAUAAGAGAUAUAUAAACUUUCCAAAGCAAGGAUCAUAUAUUCUUGGAAAUCUUCAAUUCAAUCUUAUGUUUACAAAUGCUAUUGCCAAGACAAGAGUGUGAAAGAAAAUGGUGCCAUUUGUACUUCAAAUUAUGAAUAAGAACGUUAUGAUUUAGUACUUCUUAUUUUGUGUUUGUUGACUAAAUUUGACAGAGUAUACUUUACUUGUUCCCUAUCAUACCAGUAAGGUGCAUGAAAGUUCAGUCUUGAACGGUGGAAAUAAAUAAUAAUUAAUUAAUGUUUGAAUCUCGAAUUUACUAAAUUAACGAACUUGUAAUUUCAUUGGAAUAUACUUGACUCAGUGGUAGCUUUAGUUUCAACUUGGAAAAUGUCCGUGAUAUGACAAUUUUUCCAAAACAAGUUUAGGUUAAGAUUUUUAUUUUUUAUUUUUGACAUAAUAUACGUUAAGAUUCUUGUGUACUAAUAGAAACUGAAAAAUCAUUUUGGUGCUUAAAGUUUAAUGAGUUGGACAAAUUAUUCACUCAAAUAUGGAAAUGAUAAUGUAGUCUCUUCAAUUAUAGAAUGCCAUUUAAUUUAGUUACCUUUUCAAAAUUAGCAUCACAAUUCGCAAGGUUUUAUAUUUGUGUUGAUGCAUCAGUUAAGAUAAGGAUCACGAAAAUUAGGUUUUUGACUUGGUUUUGAUUAGGGGUGUUUGCGGUGCGUUUUGGUUCGGUUUUGAGCAUAAAAGUCAUCUAAACCUCAAGAUAAAAAAGCAUGCGGUUUGGUUUGAUUCAGUUGAUUUUUAUAUAGUCAUCCAAACAAAACCAAACCAAACCAAUGCGGUUUGGAUUGGUUCGGUUUGUACGGUUUAUCGCGAGAUGAAAAAAUAUUACAUUAACUCUAAUAUUGCCAACUUGUUACAAAAUAAACAUAGGACAUUUUAUUUUGUUGUUUAUAUGAUAAAAUAUUAGGUAAAACUUAUAUCAAAAUAGGUAAAAUUAAGAAGAAACAUAAGCAUGAAACAAAUUAUUGAGAAGUAAAAGAAACAAAUUCAUCACUGAAAAUGAAUUGAAAGAGAUGGAAAGGAAUUAGAAUCGAACCAGAUGGUGCAACAAUGGAAAAAUCUAAUCAAAUGAGAUUAUUCUUGAGCUAUGUAAUUGGGCUAGUACAUGUUUAAGUAAUAUUCAUUAUUCUUGCGGUUUGGUUUGGUACUUGAGAUGCAAACCGCAAACCAAACCGAACCGCGCGGUUCAGUGUAAAAGUCAUCCGAGUUCAUUCGAACCAAGUGCAGUUUUUUGCGGUUUCGGUUUGGAUUGGUUUGGUUUGCGGUUUUUCUAUUGGGUUCGUUCGGUUUUGAACACCCCUAGUUUUGAUCGAUGUUUCCUGAAGAUAUGUUUUGGUAAUUGAACUAAAUAAACUGUCUUACAUUCUUCAAUUAAUGAGAUUAAAUUUCCUUUUUACAAAUAUCAAUGAUUAAUGUCAAGGACUAAAAUGAUGAUUAGUGUCGCGCCAUUUUUCGGAGGUCAAGGCCAUUUGAUUAGCUUUUGACUCACUUUUUAUCUCACGACUGAACAAAAAAUUUUUUAAAGGGGAAAAAGUUUCAAACCACCCAUUUUGAAAAGAUUUAGGGUUCAUGGGUUGGUUAUAUUUAGGGAAGGUAUUAGCACCCUAAAUAUUCGUAGUACUCUAUGAGUACCUCUUGAUUUUAUUUAACUUUUUGUGCUUAAACUUGCUUGCUUUUGAAGAGAUGAAAAUAGAAUUGAAAGAUGAGUUGAAACGAAAAAGAAAAUUGAUUUUAAUUGAAAAGAAAAAAGAAAAUUGUUUUUUAGUUGAUUUGGAAGGACAAGGUCCUCUGCCUACGUACCCGUGAGGGAUCAAAACCUCGUAGUUCGGGGUAGAAAUUGACGUUUGAUUGGUUUUAUAUUUUUUAUUAGUUUUUGAAAAAAGGUUUGAAAUAAAAAGCCAAGUGGCAAAUGAGAAUUGAUUUGUGUUUUUUGGAUUGAAGGAAAUAGACUUGAAGUAGAAUUAAAAUUGAUUUGAGAUUUGAUUAAGAAAGAAAAUAGAAAUAGCGAUCACUUCAUUGAAAGUCAAGGUUUGUUAUAAAAAUAUUUUUUUGUGAUUUUUUGAUAUUUGGAUGUUUUUGCCGUUUUUGAAUAAUGAAUGAAAAUUAAACUAACAGAGCAAUGAAAAUAAAAGUGCGUGGGCGUGAAGAAAAGAUUUUGGUUUAUGUUAGUUCGACAAUAUAAAUAGUAUUUAAUAUAUGUUGUGUUCACUUUGGAUAUUAUCGGACAAAAUUUUGACAAUAAUAAAAAUAAUAAUAGUAAAAUAGAAUAAAAAAUAGAAAGACUAAAGUGAAUCAAAAUGAGAUAAAAAGAUAAAUAUUUAAAACGGAUUUAAAGUUAAUAAAAGAUGGAAACUAAAAUUAAAUGAAAUUUGAAAAUUGAGAGAAGAGGGUCCGACUUGGAACCAAAUAUGAGGUAUUUUAAAAUACCUUCCUAUCGAAAUUUUGUUCGAAAGGCUGAGACCGGUCGGAGUUAAAUGACACGUGUCAGUGCUGCCUUAGGUCAAAAAUUGGGGUAUGACAAUUAGCUCAAUAAUUAAUUAUUGUGAUUUCUUCAUUUUAUAUUUAUAUUUAAGAAUAAAAAAAAAAAAAUGACGAUAUCAACUUUGACACAUUACAUAUUCAAUCAAUGUUGACUUGACCAUCAAUGCUACAUAUCCGGAUGUAAGAGUAGUUCGACGAGUUUAUUUUUGUCACUUUUGUUGAUAUUUUGUUGGUUUAUGCUAUUAACUUGCAUCUAGUAAACUUGUUCAUAGCUUCAUCAUUUUCAGUUUUAGUGACAUGAUAUUUGUGUUGUAUUCAAUGUGAUUUACCGCGCGAUAUGAAUAAUAUAUAUUUUUAGUCAAAAUUAAUCAUGUCGGACCUGAGAUCUUUGGUUUGAUGGCGUUGAACGACCUUUGAGUAAGACAAUGUUAAACCAAAAUGAGUUUUAUACAAUGCCUCUGAAGUUUUGAUAAUAACAAAGUAUAAAAAGAACAAUUGAAUAUGCCAAUGUUGUUCAAGUAUGCUCGACCAUAUAUUAAAAUUCAAAGUAUUAAAUCAAGUUUUGAUUCUGAAAGAACAAGAUUAUGAACAUAUACAAGAGCAUCUGCAACUUAUGAGAAGCUGGAAAUUUGGAUCAGACUCUGAAUAAGUAAGACUGUGAAAGUCGGGAGUGUAACACCCUGAACCCCACAUACUAUUUUUAAAAGUAAUAAUUCAACAUUUAAAUAAACAUAUCAAGAUGUUACUCUUCAUUUUCAACACAUAACAAGUCUCCAUCUUAAAAUAUCAACUCACAGCGGAAAUAAGUCUCAACAACACAAAUGUCAUACAUCAUAUCUCAGAAUAAGUACAUCAUCAAAAUAAACUCAAGGUUCCUCAAACAUAAUAUGAUAACAUAAAUAAAAUCCCAACAUCCUAAUCAGAGAACCACUAGACAAGACUCCAAAAUCAAAGCGGUAAAAGAUGAGUAGGCUGCAAGCCGUCCUCGGAAACUCAUGGUAACUUUGCGUCCUCAACCUGCAAGUCUCCACCACAAGGGCGUAGGCGACCAUUUGCCAAACGUAGGGUAAGAUAUAAAUUUAACAUAGAGGAAAUAUGAACACAUAUAUAGUAUUAGGAUCGCAACAUCAUAUACAAGUAUUCAUCUUAAGCAAUACCAUAUUAACAUGCAUUCUCAUUGAUUGGUAAAAUAUACACAACAAAUCUCAAAUCAUCAUCACAAGAAUAUAAAAAAGUAAACACAUCAUUGAUUAAUCAUCCAAUGGAAUACAUAGGAUUCACACAUUAUCACUUUCAUUAAAUCACACAUUUUCCAUAAAAUACACAUAGUCAUGUAUGCAUCUUUCACAUAGAUUCACAUAGUCAAGUACUCAUCUUCUACAUAGACUCUCAUGUACGAAAUGUUCCUACUCGACUUUAUAUGCAUGUGGUACUGUUUUCGAUAUCAGAGGUAUUUUCUGAGUGAUUUCACCGUCACUUGGACUGACCAUGAAUGCAUGAACAUCUCAUCAUGACUCGACAAUGCAUAAUUCAUAUAACUCGACAAUUUACAUCAACAACAUCAUCACAUCGUAUAUUAAUUCAUCGUCGCUAUAUCAUCAUCAUCAUCAUCAUCAUCAUCAUCAUCAUUUUCAAUGUCAUUAUAUCAUCAUCAUCAUCAUCAUAUCAACAUCUAUAUAUAGUUCAAAUCAUCAUGUCAAACCAUAUCAAUAUGUAUCCACCUCGUCUCGCAAUCACAUUCACAGUCAUCAUCAUUAUAUAUUCAUAAGACAUUAUUCUACAUCAUCAAGUAUACUUCGUUAAUCAUCUAACAAGUUCACAGUCAUUUCAUGAUUCAAUUAUAAUUAAAUCACAAGUUUAUUUCUAACCAUUUCAAUUGCUAAGUUUACUUCCAUCAUAAGCUAGGUUAAUUACUCUUACACAUCAAAAUUAUACUUCUAUUAAUCAAGUUUAGAGGUUUGUGACAUAUUCACAUGCAUUGGAUACCUUAAAAUACCAAAAAUAUGAGUUUCCCACUAUAGGGAGGGUUGCACGGUAGUGCCAUCCAGGUGCACAGUCGUGCUCAUCAUGCAGGUAGGGAAAAGCUAUAAUUUUUGCGUUUUGCUCAGGAAGAACCCCUUUCAACACCAUUUUUCGAUCCAAUUCACACCAAACUAGACCCAAAUCAUAAAACUAAUGUUGUCUAAUCAAUUACACAUUAAUUUUACCUUAACUAACUUUAUUAUACUCAUUAUUAUCGUCAAUUAACAUGAACUUCAAUUGUUUUAAACUUAUCACUUCAAACCCAUUUUUAACAUGGUAAUUCAAACCCCAAACAUAGUAACAACCAAAUCAACAUCCCUUAUUCAAAAUGAACACAAAAAAAUUCAUCAAUUCACAUUAUAAACAUCAACUCAACAAUUAUCAACAAUUAUCAUGAAUUUCACCAAUUUCACAUAAAACUCAAAAACCCUAAUUCACCAUAAUCAAACAUUGAUUUUAACACAACUGUUAGGUUUGUAGUCUUGACAUGUUGGUGCGACAUCAUAGCGUGCCUUGUUCCGAUUUCUUGGAGAUUGUAUUUAAAUGUGAAAUCGCAGAAGAAAACUAAACGCAUCACAACUAAGAAAAGGUAGAAUAAAACCUUUCUACAAACAAAGCGCACAUCACUUGAAAGCAAAAUAAAUACGCAACUAAAUUUCAAAAAAGAUAUGCAUAAAUUAUCAUAGAAUAAGGCACCAAGUAACACGUUCUUACGUCUCAGAUUACCAAAUGGCUCUCCGAAAAAUAACCAGAGUAUGAUAAAAUUACAGAUUUCCCAAAACAAAAGGAACAUAAACUAAAAUACAAAGCACGAAAACAAAGAAGACACAACAACAUAACUCUUCAUCCACUAACUUUCCAUCAACCAAAAUCUUGGAGGGGUCCAGCUCGCUCACAUUAUCAUCAGGGUUAAAAUGCAGAACUUGCGCCCUAGUAUGCUCAAAGCCAUUGUCAAAAUAUAAGGCAAGAUCCCCCUUGCCAUCCUCAACGACGAAUUGAGCUUUGGCGAGAUCCCCUUACAACUAGACGACCUUCUUCUUCCAUGAAUCUCUCUCCAGCUCAACAACUUCUUUUUCAUCCUUCAUAUCUUUGGUCGUCUUCUCUGCAGUCUUCUUAUCCUCCAAGGCUUCCUUCAACCUACUUUCAAGACCCGUUGCUUUAUGCUUCCACUUCUCCACAUCUUCAUGAGCGUCUUUAUACUUUGCCUCUAAAGCACCAUGUUUCUUCUCCAUCACUUUUCCUAAUAAAAGGACCCGGAGCACUAAUAUUCUUGUAUCCAUUACUAGCUCGCCAAAUUUGCUUUUAACGCCAGCAUCAACGUCAACCUUAGACAGUGGCACUUUAUCCUCCAUGUAGCUACGAUAAACGCAUGACUUAAAAGUUGAAAACCCACUAACAUUACUAGAAUUUAAGUAAAAUCUCAUCAUCAAAUUAAACUCUCAUACCUACGAAAGUCGAAAUCUUUAUGCCAAAAAGAGUCAGCCACCUGAACAUUCAGAGAAAUGGUUCCCGCCACCCCGCUAGCAUAAUCAUCAUCCUUCCGACUGGCAACAAAUGUCCGCUUCGAGUCGCCCUUCCCAGUCCUCAUCUUCUUGCGUCUGGGCGAGUCAGUUUGCUCAGCCAGUACCCCAUUGCCUGCCGUCUCCAUGUUAUCAAUGUCCAUAUCCGAAUGUAACAUCCUAAAAUUUUAAGUCUAUAUUCAAAUGUAGUUAAAAAUAUAAAACAUAAUAGUGUAAUUAUUUUAAAAUACGCGAAGAUAAAAAUAAAGACAAAUAAAUAUGAUAUAAUUUCUUAUUAAUAAUUAAAUUUUAUUGGAUAAAAAGAAAAGGAGAAAGAAAGAAAAACAAAAAUAAAGGGAGUGCAAAUAACAAUUAUUUUUAGAAAAGAAAAAAAAAGUUAUAUACUUUCUCGAAUUUUUUUUCUGCCCUUGUUUAUGCAAAAAAAUACAAAAAUGCCCCACUUUUUCGAAAAAUUGCGUAAAUGCCCUACUUUUUCAGAAGCCCCUGGUACUACUCCACUUGGAGUUGCGGGGUACCCUAAAAAGUCACAAUUUUUUUGUCCUUAUUGUACGCCGCUACUUGGACUUGCGGGGUACUUUCCUACUUUUUUUUUUCCACUUUUUUUACUACCCCGCGAGUCUUAGCUUUUGCUUUUUUUUUUAAAAUUUUUUUUUUUUAAAUACCCCUCUACUUGGAGUAGAGUGGUAUAAUGAAGACAAAAAAAAUUCAACGUGUAAUAAUUACUCUCAAAUAAUAAAAAACUAAUUAAAAUUAUAUAACCAAUAAAAUACCAUCUACAAUGAUUAUAAAUGCCCGGCUGUCCCACACCUUCGUCUUCGACGAUCUCUUCCGCGAUUUACUUGAGGGUUAUGUUGGUCUUCGUCAUUUUUAUUUGUAGUUGAUUGUAUCUGACUACCAUAACCCAGUGACAACGACACAUCGUGUUCUCUUGUUGGCCAUCCCAUAUCCAGAAAUUGUUCAUUGGAGUUCAACGAAGUCGGAGAGAAGUGAGAUAAUAGGUUUGUUGGUGUUGGUGGGUGGUUGUAGUUUUGGUUGGUGUACAUUGGGUAUUGUGGGUUGUUGUAGGGGGGUAAUUGGUGUUGGACGGUCCAGCUUGGUUUGGGUCAUUAUAGGAGAAGUAGUUGUUGUUGGAUGUGUUAGCUUGGUUUGGUUCAUUGUAACCAUAAUUUGUCAUUGAAUUUUGUUGGUAAGUUGACUGAUAUUGGGGCUCAUAUGCAUUUCUCGGGGAGGUAUAUGGUGGUGGUUGGAUGAUAUUUUGUUGGGGGGUGUCGAGAAAUUCAUACAUUACAGAACCAUGAAUGUUUUGUGUUGUAUGUGGUUGGGAUUGAUGAUCUUGUAGUUGAGAAAAAAUGUCUUGAUCCCAAAAAUCAUCAUGAAUUGGUGUUUGGUUGUUGUGAAUUUCAGGUUCAUGUUCCGGCUCCGGCUCUUCUUGUUCGUCUGGAUCUGAAUCUGAUGGUUUUGUCUCAACUGAAAUCCUUAGACGUGGGUUGCAUGUGGUUGUCAACCACUCAAUAUACGCAUGAGUUGGGGUGAGUGAUCUUGGCCGCAUGUGAGGUAAAAUAUAACUCCGUCGGUUGUCCCAAUGUAAGCUCUCUUGUGGAAAGUGAAAACCAUUUGAUUGGUACCACAUCUUGAACCGUUUGUCCACUAUAUGGAAUUGUCGCAUGUCUCGUGGGGCCCCUGGUAUUUCCUGUGGCAAACCAAAUUCUAGCUUGACCCUAUCAGUUGGAUGCCAUUCAACUCUGUCAAAACAUAUAAGGUGAGUUGUUGCAGUCCACUCCCAAUAGUCUUCAGGAAAAUUGUGUGGAACAUUCUUGUAUGGUCUCCAUUUAAACUGGCAGAAGAGAGAAGUUGUAGUGUAAGGUUAACAAUUUUGAUAUAUAUAUAUAUAUAUAUAUAUAUAUAUAUAUAUAGUUCGAUAGGUGAAAUAUAUAUUCAUUAUUAAUUAAAUAACUCCUAAUUAAAUACUUGUAAAAAAACUCAUGAUUAAAUAAAUAAUUAAUUUAUAAUCGCGACAUUUUUUUAGUCCUAUAUUAAUUGCAUGUCCUACUUUUUUUUUUCUUACAAAAGAAAGUUAACAUAUAGCUUUUUAUUUCUUUACGACCAUGAAAGUGUUAAUAUGUAGCUUAAAUAACAAAAUAUCUUAAUUAUAUUUAAUUAGACCAUGAAAGUUAGUUUACCCUUGAAAUUACAUAAAAAAAAAAUUACCGUUCAAUAUAUAUAUAUAUAUAUAUAUAUAUAUAUAUAUAUAUAUAAACUCAUACAUUCAAAAAUCAAUUAUAAUAUUACUUGAUGUUCCAGUAUGUCAUCAAACUUUUUUCUGUAAGAUAUAGUGUCAUGGCUUGGAUUCUCGUAGUAUCUUGAACCUGCACCUGUCCAUCUAACAAAUGAUAUAAACAAAUUAGUAGCUAAUUUAUCAAAUAAUAAUAUUAAUAAGAAGCGAGAAUAUGCGAGGAAAUUAACAAAAAAAAUAAAUAAAUUAAUUGACCACGAUUACUUUAAUCCUAGCGGCUACUGGAGUGGGUUAUCAUUUCUCGGAGCGAUAUAACUCAACCGACAAUAUCCCCAAACUUGUAACAGAAAAUGACAUCCAGAUAGUGCUUUUAUAUUUGGGUGUGAUGCCUCACACAAGCCACGAUAAAGGUAAGCCAAAACUGCCGAUCCCCAACUAUAAUUUCUUGUUUCAUUAAAAUCCAUUAACAAAUACAACCAAGAGUUGUGCACAAAUAAUCCAGUUGUAUUAGGAAACAAGAACCCUCCAAAGAGGUAUAGUAGGUACCUCCUGUGUGUUGUAUUUUUACCUCCGGAGGAGAUUGUUCACUGAAGUUAUUAUCGACCAGAUUAUCCUUUAAUCACGACAACGAGAGAGUAAAACCAUCAGUUUUGUGUGCUGGAGGAGUUAUUCCCAACAAUUGAGCACAAUUAUUCCACAGAAGAUUUGGAGGAGCCGUAACAAUUGGUCCUCCAAAAGGUAAGCCGAGUAAAAUAUAUACGUCUUCAAACGUGAUUGUACAUUCACCCGUUCGAAAAUGAAAAGUAUGUGUUUCGGACCGCUAUCUUUCUACAAGAGUGGUUACGAUGUGCCUAUCAAUUUUGUAACGCCCUAUUUGAGAAACCUCAAAAAAUCCAGCUUGACGUAGAUAAUCUUCAAUAUAAGGACUUGGUAUGAUGUUUUGCCGUGUACGAGUGGUUAGAGGUGCACCCUCUGCAUCCUAACAAAAAAUAAUAAAGGAAUAAAAUUAAAACAUAAUCAAAAUAUAAAUUUAAAAAAACGUGAACAUAUUUAAAUUAAUAUUAAAAAAUAAAAAUGACAUUAACAAAUUAAUAUCUAUAUAUACCCAUCUUCUUAUAUGUUCUUCCAUGGAUCUAUGAUCAUUUUCCAACCACAAGUAUGCCAUUGCUUUAUAGAAUUUGAUUGAAAUAAUCUCUUAUGUGAGUGAGUAAGGAAAGGAUUGAGAUAAGUAGAAUAUGUGUAAAGAGUAAAAAUAUAGUUGUGGUAUUUAUAAUGUAAAACUAUGUGUAAAUGGUAGAAGUAGUAGUGUGGUAUUUUAAUCAAUGAAGUGAAGAGUUCCUGUGUUACUACUGCAACGCAUGCAAGCCAACAGUGUUCAAAUAAACAUAGAAAUGACAAUUGCAUCAAUAGCAGAAGCAUGGUGUUCAACAAUAUUGAAUUAAUUCGUAAACUUUGCCUCAUGAGAUGACCAUUGCAUGUAAAAAAUACAUUAAUUUCUUGCAAGAAAUUUUUGACUGAAAUGACCAAUGCAUGUUUUGAUCACGUGAAGCAUGCUAGCAAACAAAUGGCCGACAAGCUGCCUCUGAAUAACCAAUAGGAACGGCGCGUGCAAAUACUACCCCGCCACUCUGGGUUGCGUGGUACCCCCAGCUGGCGCAUGCUUUACAUACCCCGCCACUCCAGCUUGCGUGGUACCCCCCAGCUGGCGCGUGCUUUACCUACCCCGCUACUCUAGCUUGCGUGGUACCCUCUAGCCCGCUAGUCCAAACUGCGUUGUACCUUUUUUAAUUUUCCCGCUCGAAGGGCAGAUUAAAUUACAUGUUAGUAUAAAUAAAAGUGGUCUGCAUGAUAUCAUUGUAUCAAACCAUUCUACUUCAUACUCUUACUCAUUUCUUAAGAUCAAACCAAUUCAAUGGCACCAAAUAUAAACGUUUUUGUGUACUAUAAUGGAGAAGUUAAACAAAAUGAAUCCGGUAUUUUUUUUCAAAGUCAGUAUACCAAAGGUUUUAAAGUCAGCAUGGCUAGUACUUACUUGCAUCUCAAAAGAAGAAUUGCGGAAAAAGUAUGUCUCGAAGAUAAUAUGGUUGUGUCUGAAAUUAUGUGUCGGAAUCCUAUGUUUGUUGGAACUACCACAAUUCAUUACCAGGCGUUAAGAAUAACUGAUAACGACGAUGUCGAGUUUAUGUUUAACGUACAUAAAAGUCACAGUUCUUUGUCCUAUAUAGAGCUUUAUGUUACGUUUGAGAUGAAGAAUCCAACAUCUAAUUUUGAGUUAAAUUACCCAUCGAGUUCUAGUCAACACCAAAGUCUACCACAACACUACAAUCCGUCAUCGUCGCAAGAACACUACAACCCAUCAUCGUCCCAACCGCACUAUAACCCGUCUCCCAUUUAUGAUGCAUCCUUAUCGCAACCUUUUCAGUCAAAGUGGUCACAAAAUGUGUACGAACCAUCACAAAUAAUAACUCAACCUCAUCCCUCUCAAACACCAUCUCGUUCAACACAACCCAAAACCUUAAACGAUGAAAUCAAUAUAUUCACCUCCCAAUUUCAAGACCAACCAAAUGAUGAAGUUCAAGAUGAUGAAGACGAUGAUGAUGAAGAACUCCUUGCCGCACAAAACGGUGACGAGAACGAAGAAGACGAAGACGACGAUCUGCCACUACUACCAAUUUUACCAAUCAGAGCUUCUUACAACCCACCAAGGUCCAUGCGCAACGUCAAUGAUGACCACUCAACUGAACUUUAUCAUUCAAUGGCUCUUCCGGUCGAUCAAGGUAUUGCCCUAGGGAUGCAAUUUCAUAACAAGAAUGAUUGCAUUCUCGCAAUUAAAUUUUAUCACAUGAAAAAAUCAACGGAUUAUAUUGUGAAAAAAUCAGAUCCUGAAAGGUAUGUCAUCAAAUGUAAAGAUACAAAAUGUGGUUUCAAAUUGCGGGCCUCGUGGAGGAAAAAAACUGAUAAAUGGGAGAUUGGGAAAAUGAAUGAUCAUACAUGUGUCUCAACAGAAAUGACGCAAGAUCAUCAUAAACUUAGUUACAAUGUGAUAUGUGAAAGUGUUAAAUCACUACUACAUAUGGAUACUUCAAUUACAGUGAAGGUUAUAAUUGCACACAUCCGAGAGAAGUUUAAUUACACAGUUUCAUACAGAAAGGCAUGGAGAGCACGGAAUAAGGCGAUUAAAUCAAUUUAUAGUAAUUGGGAGGAGUCUUAUGAAGAACUACCACAAUGGUUGAUGGUCAUGGAAAAAGAUUUGCCAGGAACAAUAAUUGAUUUUCAAACGGACCCAUCAACAGAAGUGGCAAAUGAGACCGUCUUCAAGCGUCUUUUUUGGGCCUUUCGUCCGUGCAUCUCAGGUUUCGAAUUCUGCAAACCAAUUGUCCAAAUUGACGCAACUUGGUUGUAUGGUAAAUACAAGGGAACAUUGUUGUUAGCUGUUGCGCAAGAUGGGAACAACAAGAUAUUUCCCAUAGCUUUUGCAAUCGUGGAAGGCGAGACCAAGGAGGCAUGGAGUUUCUUUUUGAAAAAUUUAAGGCAGCAUGUCACCCCACAAGAGAACAUAUGCCUCAUUUCUGAUAGACAUGUGUCGAUAAAGAGCGCGUAUGAUGAUCCACAGAAUGGAUGGCACGAUGCUCCGACAAGCCAUGUUUAUUGUGUCCGACACAUUGCACAAAACUUUAUGAGAUCAUUCAAGGAUGGAGAACUAAAGAAGAAAGUUGAAUGCAUGGGUAAAAAUCAUAUCUCUUUCCACGUAAAUUCGACAUUUUAUUUGUUUAAAAUGACACAUCUAACUUUUUUCAAAACAAUGCAGGUUACGCCAUGAACAUCCCUACAUUCGAAUACUACCGUUCUGAAAUUGCUGUUGCAGACCGAAAGGCUUUAGCAUGGGUCGACAAUAUUCCCAAACAAAAGUGGACUCAAUCACAUGAUGAUGGUCGACGAUGGGGCCAUAUGACAAGUAACUUGGUAGAGUCACAAAACAACGUGUAUAAGGGUAUUCGAGGACUUCCGAUCACAGCUAUCGUGAAAGCAUCAUAUUACAGGUUGGCGGCCUUGUUUGCUAAAAGAGGACAUGAGGCAGCGGCAAGGGUAAAUUCUGGUGAGCCAUUCUCAGAAAACAGCAUGAAAUAUCUCAGGAAUGAGGUGAUUAAAUCCAACAGUCAUCAUGUCACACAGUUUGACCGGGAUCGGUAUACCUUUUCCGUCCGUGAAACCAUCGACCAUAAAGAAGGAUUGCCAAAGGGAGAAUACAAGGUGGACCUGCAAAAUAAAUGGUGUGACUGUGGACGAUUCAGAGCGUUACACCUACCAUGCUCACAUGUCAUUGCCGCAUGUUCUAGCUUUUCUCACGACUACAAGACUUUUGUCGAUAACAAAUUCACGAAUGAGUGUGUAUACGCCGUAUACAACAUCCACUUCGACGUGGUUCACCACCAGACAUAUUGGCCUAAUUAUGAAGGACUGAAGGUGGUUCCCAACAAGUCCAUGUGUAGGGUAAAGAAAGGUCGUCCACCAAUUACUCGCAUUAGGACCGAGAUGGACGAUGUGGAAACUGAGAGAAGAUGCGGCGUUUGUAGGAUGCCUGGUCAUUCCCGCAAAGAUUGCAUUAAUAUUAGACACCAGUAAAAAUCUAGUCUUUAUUUCGUUUGUAGGAUGUAUGGUCAUUUCCACAAAUAAUUGUAGAUUUUAUGGUAUUUUAUUGGUUAUAUAAUUUUAAUUAGUUUUUUAUUAUUUGAGAGUAAUUAUUACACGUUGAAUUUUUAUUUUUUUUUGUCUUCAUUAUACCACUAUACUCCAAGUAUUUAAAUUUUUUUUUAAAAAAAGCAAAAGCUAAAACGCAAGUCCAACUUGCGGGGUAGUAAAAAAAGUGGAAAAAAAAAAGGAAAGUACCCCGCAAGUCCAAGUAACGGGGUACAAUAAGGACAAAAAAUUUGUGACUUUUUAGGGUACCCCACAACUCCAAGUGGAGUGGUACCAGGGGCUUAUGAAAAAGUAGGGCAUUUGCGCAAUUUUUCGAAAAAGUGGGGCAUUUUUUUAUUAUCUUUGCAUAAACAAAGGCAGAAAAAAAAAAUUCUACUUUCUCCCCACGUUUUCUCAAAAUUUGUUUCUAAAAUAAUAAUAAAAAAAGAAAUAGUUAUUUCAGAAAGAGAAACCGUGUGAUAUUUUUUAAUUAGUGUACACCUACACUUCUCAUGUGCCUAUAAAUAAGAUGCUUAGUUGAACAUAAACUCACACUACAAAACUCUCCUCUCUCUAAAAAAUCAGGUUAGUUCUCUCUCUCUCUCUCUCUCUCUCUCCUUUUCUGAACUUUCUCUAUUCAAUCUAUAGUCAUUCUUUAUUCUUUUGAAAGAGACAAGAUUUACUACUAAAAUAACCUCAGAUUUGGUCCCCACAACCCUUCUUUUGGGAAGAACAACAACAUAGUAUACCCUUCUUUUGGGAAGAACAACAACAUAGUAUUAGAAUGUUCUUUUAUCAGAUGAGAAAGUGACAGUAGUUUAGUUCUUUUCAACCUAAUCAAACCAUGAAAAUAGUUUAGCUCUUUUCAACCAUUCUUUUUCAACAGAAACAUCAUUCAAUAAAAUAAAAUAAAGAGAUCUCAGAUCUGUUUUAGACUUUUAGUAGAAAAAAUUACACGAUUUAAUUAUUGUAUUUUUUAUACUGAUACAAACUAUGAAGAUUGAAACAAAGUUCAUAAGAAAGUUGAGAUCUUGUUUAAUUCAUAUUUUUAGUUUAAAGAAAAAUAAAGAAAUGAACAUUGUUUUAAGAAUGACGUAAUGACUAUUAAAUGGCUUUUAAACAUUCUGACUAUAUAAAAAGGUAGUAACAUAAGUUUCAUUUGAAAUAAAAUAAAAUCAAGCUAUUAUUAAAAUAUAUCUAAUAUAAUCUGAAGAAAAAAAAAGGACGUGAUACAGAGAAACAAAGGAAUUAGAAAACUUUAACUCGUUAUCUCUAUUAUUAUGACCUUGAUAAUGACUAUAGUCUAAUAGAUAGUUUAUUUUGGGUGAGUAUUCUAGGUGAUAUUGGAGCUGCUUUCGACGGAAACAAUAUUGCAACCACUUGCGAAGAAUCCGAAGGUAAGGGGAAUUACUACUAAUAAAUUUUAAAGAUUUUGCAUAAGUUAUGUGCUUAAGUGAUUAUAUGUGAGUAAAUAACUCUACUUGUGAGAGUUAAUUUCUCGAUGAUGUGGUAAUUUCUAGCGAUCAAGUACAUGUCAAAGGACAUCGACUUAUAUGUGUUUUAGUUAAUAUAAUUAGGAGUUUUUGAAAAUAUAAUACAUAAGUAGAAGAAAAAGUUUUGUAAAUGAUGAAUUGAUUAGAUAGUUAUAUUAUGUUUAUUUGGUAUUACUCUUGUGUAAGUGAAUGAGCAUAUGAAUUUCAAUAAGUGUUAACUGAUUUCGAUGAGUGAAAUUAGUUGGAAAUAUAUGAUUUAAAGUGUCAAUUAUGAUUCGACGCGAUAAUUUAUAAUGUUAAUCAUGAUUAAAAACUUCUCUAUAAAAAGAAAUGAUCUAAGAGAGAUAGUUGUAUCCCACCUCAUUAAUUUUAUGGUAUCAACUCAUAGGUAUGUUGUAAAGGAAAGAAACUUAAGAAUGCCAAACUAUGAUCACUAACUUAGUACGUAGACAUAGUAUAUAUAGUUAUAUUGUACGUGUAGGAAAUUCUUUAAAACAAAUGUAUAUGUGCUUUUUAACUAGGCAACAUGAAUUAUUCUUUGUUAAAAUCUCAUGAAUAAAAAGAACAUGUACUAGUUUAAUUGAAUUACCUAAGUUCUUACUUACUGCUGAAAUUUCUAUGCUUAUAAAUAAAUGAAAAAGAACAUAUGCUGGUCAUUAAUUGUUCAGUUAUUAUGUACUGGCUUGAUUUACUUGCUGGAAUUUCUAUGCUUAUACAUAAAUGAAGAGGGACAUAUGCUGGUUAUUAUUUGUUGAGUUAUUAUAUACUGGUUUGAUUUACAUCACUGUACUAAUUGAAUAAAAUUCUGAUGUGGCUAAUCAAUUUUAUAAACAUAAAUGGUUAAUUGUUUGACAUUGUUGAGUUGAAUAUGAGUGUUUUGUCUUGUCUAGAAAGUAGGGACAAUUAAGGAGCUAUAACAGGUCCCUAUACACUCAGGUGUAGAUGAGAAUGAGGAUAGUUAUGGUUUGGUUACUUUGAGGAUCUAUCGAGGGCACUUGUGUUUCGAACGCCUAUCAAUAGUUGGGGAUUGCUUCCCGGCUGAAAGUACUCGUACUACCAGACACGGUGAGCCUGAAAAAACUAGACUAUCUAUGAUAAGGUAGUGCGAUCGGACUAGAAUGAUUAGAGUUUAAGCAUAUCUUGCUCAAAAUACUAAUAAUCAUGAUAUAGUUGCCGAAACGGCCUUAUGCUCAUUAGAGUGGAACCUCCAUGGAGUAGUGAAUUAUGAGAAGAAAAUAAACUAGAGUCAAGAAAAAAAAAGUCAAAAGAGUUCAUGCAUGUGUCAUGUUGAAUGUCAAACUAUUAAUUCAAAUUGGACCUCUUAAAAGAUAGUUUUUUUUUUUUUUUUUUUAUAAUAUGCUUUGUGAUUGUUGUUGGACAGUGAAUGAAAAGAAAAUAUUAUAUCUAUGUAAAUAUCAUUUUACCUUGCUGUAUAUAUAUUAUUUUCUUUUUCCUUAUGUAAUAAAUCACGUGGAAAACUUGUGUACGAGUAAUUCACCCUUCUUUGUUUGUUUUUGUAUCUUGUUGUUUUUUUUGGGUAUGUUCGGACGUUUUUAUAGAUGAUGCCAGAAAGACAUUUAGCUCACUCGGGAACCCGCAUGAUCGAGUUCCUUGAGGUAUUUUCUUUUGCAACACUUAUUAAAGAAGAAAGUAAUAAUAAAUCAAAACACUCACACAAAGACGCCUCAAGACUAUUGGAAUCACCCUAUCGUAUCAAAAGCUCAUGAAUAUCCAUAAGUAAAAACUUCUCCAAAAAGAACACCAUACCCUACUCAUAGGGUGCCAUCUUAUUAAAAUCAUACCCCAUCACUGCAAUCGGAGCAAUGAUCCAACAUAAAGGAAACUUUGGUUUUCCUUCCACCAUCACCAACGAAGUUGAGCCCUCAGGCUCUCCUUGCACCCUAACAAACGAAUCACACCAAUCCUUCUUAAAGUUAGAAGCAUAAGGAGGGAAAAGUUUUUUACUAGGAUAGGCACUAAUUGAAACCCACAUUCCCUUGUUUACAUCUUUCGUCCUAUAAAAAUGGAAGAAGACGCCAACAGAAGGCUCCAAACUCAUCCUUACAAAGUAGUUUGAAUCCACGAAUAAACGCCUAGCUAUUAGGACGUAUUUGCGAAGGCGCCACAUUCAGAAACUUUAGCACAUCCAUCUCAAAAUCCGUAAAGGGUCGUCACCCCAAACUCUUCCAACACCGUCAUAUACAUAAGAAAGGAAUCAUCCCUGACACCCUCCAAACGCUGAUCGCACACUCUCUCGCCUACAUCACAGGGCGACACUGUCACAUCUUUCUCGUUCUCAGUAGCAGAAGUAUCCAUCUUGUUUCAGAAUAAAUUGAUAUCCGAAGGCGACAUAUAUGAAAACACCGCUCGAAGAACUUCUUCAGCUAAAUGAUUCAUCUCCAACUCAUAAGAAUACGUCAAACACAUAAUCUCUUUUUGAGUAGACGGAAGAGGCAUAUAAUGACAAAUCUCUUGACAAGUUUUCCCCCUACGACAAAUCACUAUCACUACCAUUAGAGCUAUCGCUACUAGUGUUGCUAUCAUUGGACAAUUCCCCUAAAACCCUACGAUAAAAAAGCCCUAAUUCGUAAGCUUCCCAAUCAAUCAAGUCAUUAGGAUGUGUUGCAUGUCUUAAAGAAUCUCUCCUCAGUUGGUCUCUCUCAUCAAAAUUCGUAGGAGAGAAGGCGAAAAAUGAGAGAAGGAAAAUGGAAGAGUACUUGAGAAGAUUGAAAACGUGAGCUUAGAAAUCCAGACAAUCAGCUGGCAAGUGCGCGAAUACGGAGAACUAAAAGGCGAAAAAUGCGGAAGUGAAAUGAGGAAAGGAAGGAAAUGAAGGGUCAAAGAGUUUUAGAGGACAACAACAAUUAAAACCCCCUCAAAAAACACGCUCAUCCUUGGCACGAUUGGAGACACGUGUCAAGAUACACCCAGAUUCGAACACGUCACUAUCAUCGAAAGGUCACACAUUUUGGACCAUACAAUCAUGUUAAAAAUGAAAGAUCUCGUCGAUAUAGAAUUUCAAAAAACUCGUUGCCAACUCCUCAAACAGGAAACUUACUCGCCGUGCUGUUACAAAUCACUUCGCCUUGUCCCAAGACUCGUGGUUGGGGGCUGUGAACAAACAUCAGGCAUAAAACGCAUGACUCGACUAGCACACACCCUAGGGGGCUCUAGGAUAAAGCAUAAUCACCCAAGGGGGACUCUGUAAGCUCCAACAACAACAUCCAAAGACAUACACAAAAAAUACUGAUAAACGUAAAAUAAAUUCCAAAUGCUAAUUAAUCAUUUCGCCUUGUCCCAAGACUCGUGCUUAGGAGGCUUUGGACCGUCAAUAUCUUCUUAAGGACCUAGAAGUCCUCCCAAAGGGCAUUUAGACCCUCCUAGAUGCCUAACACCCUUCAAAAGGGCUCUAAGGCCCAACACGCGCCCUUCCUAGGGAGCCGCCUCUACCAGCUUCUAAAACCUCCAAAGCUCGGCCUAAAUACCUAAUACGAUUACAAACCCUAAUACCUCAUUACGUAUAGCUUAAGAACCAUAAAUCAGGCCAAUAGAGGGCUAUAAAUACAACCUUUGAGAGCCUUCUGAAGGCAUGACCAAUACAUUACAAACCCUAAUACGAUUAUUGUACUUUUGCAAGUACAAUGAGGAAGGCGAUAUUGACAGGGAAAGUUUCCACCUAAUUUGGGCUAAAAACAUGGACUUUUGGGGGUAAAAAAGUCACAAAAAGUGACUUUUUUCGCAAGGAGCAGGGCGCCUAGCGCAUAAUGGCAUGCACCUAGCUCAUGUUCCUGCUAGGCUGAGGCGCCUAGUGCCCCUUUCAUGCGCCAGACGCUUCAGUUGUUUAGCUUAGGGGCACCUAUUGUGCACCUGGGUGCAUAAGUGCCUUUUCAGUGCCUUUUCAGUGCUGUUUUUCUUGUUUUCUUUGCCUUUUGAGGUGUUUUCUUCAAUGUAAGAUGUCUUGGAACUUGAGAACAAAAUUCCUUCCUUUGUAAAGACUUCUGAGGCAUCUUGAAUCUUCAUUAUUCAUCUUCCCAAGGUCCACAUAAAUCUUCAAAUGUCUUGCAUUGUCUGAUUUGCUUGAUUUCUUCGUGAAUUACUUCAACAACACCCUAAAAUUGCUAUUUUUCAGGAAGAAUAGAAUUACAAACUCAAUAUAAAAUACAUUACAAAUGUACCGAAAUCAUAGGCAAUUGAUCAAAUACUCUUCUUCUUUGCUGGUAAAACCUACUGAAAUUGACUGAAAAAUGUAACAGCCCUAUUUUCGUUAGAUUUAUUUUAAUUGUUUUAAUAUGUGUUUAUUUAUGCUUAUGUGUGAUUAUUAUCAUUGGGUGCAUUUUUAUGGGUUUUCGUGUUGGAAGGAUAAUUUAGUAAUUUCAUGUAAGGAUUAUUUUUAGUGUUUCAAGUGAGAACCAUUAUUUACUAAGUUACUAGUGUGGUAAUUAGUUGUGAGCCGGUAAGUGAUCGUUGUUAUUAUUUUACCGUUAAGGGAGUAGAAACAUUUUAGAAUUAGUGAAUUAGUGGGUUAAGCCCACUAAGGCAUUAGGGUUAAACCCAAUUGAGAAGAGCCUAUAUAAGUUCUAGAUUUUAGAGAAAAAUAGGUUUCCACUUCAUUUCAUAAGAAUUUUGAGAGAGGUAGAGAUAGAAAGUUCAAGAGAAGAGGAAAAUGGUUAGAAGGGAGAAAAGCUUGAAGACUCAAGAGGUGAUAGAGAUUCUAGGACCUAAAUUGAAGCUUUUGCUAGGAUUUUUGCUAAUUGAGGUAAGGGGGUUAGAUUUCAAUCAUAAUAACUUAGUUGUAGCUUUUACCCUAAUUUCAUGUAUAAAUGCUUAUUUGUAUAAAGUGAUUAUUAUGAAAUUAAUUGAUGAAAUUCGUGGUUAUGCUUUGAUGUGAUGUUUGGGUAUGUGAAAUUGAUGUUAAUUAAGUUGUUGAUGAAGAAUUUACAUGCUCAAGUUAUGUAUAUAUGUAUACUUGUGUUUUUGCUCAAAAUUGAUGAAGUAUAAUGUUAUUGUUGGUGAAUUGUUGAUGAAUUCACUUCUGAUUGUUGUUGUUGUGAUUGUGAGUAGUUGUUGUUGAUGAUUGAAACCUUGGGUAAUCUUAACCAUAGAGCUUGAAGUGAGUUUCUAUUGUUCUUGAAGUUUUCAUGAAAAAUAGGUCAAAUGGUAAUUUUGUUGAAAUUAUGUUGGAUUCAAGUUUUUAUAUGGAUUUGAGUGUCUUUUCAUGUUUAGACAAACUUUGGGAUCAAAUUUGGGUAUUGGGUCAAAAUUGGGAUUUUGGGGUGAAAAAUGAGUUUUUUUUUGUAGUAGAACUCCAGAAGCCUGUCACAACUCGCCAUGGCGAGCGGGAGGCGAGCAGGAGGUGCUUCCUGUGUGUUAACUCCCCAUGGCGAGUGAUUCACUCACAGGGCGAGCUGCACAGUGACAUCAUUCCCUGUUUCGCAAUCUUGCGUCUUUUUCACAUAUUUUUGUUUUGAAUUGGUCUUUGGUAUAAAUAUGAAAGUUUUAGAUAAUUGUGUUAGCUUUCCAGUGGCGUUGGUUUGACUUGAAAAUGAUUUUUGGUUUUUGAGUUAUGAUGAAAAUACUCCAAGGAGGUCUUAGUGAAAUUUUAUGAAAAUUCCGCAUAACUAUUUCUAAGUCAACCCAAAACUUAUGGAUUGUUUCCAAACUUCAAAACUUGUGUACUAUGAGUUAAAUUAAUGUGUUUAAGAGUAUUUAAGCUACGUUGUGGUGAAUUUAACUUGGUUUUGUUUUGAAAGUGAAUUGGUUUUACAUUAUGAGUAAAGCGAUACGAACUUUGCAAAACUUUGAAUUUAAGUGAGUUGGCCUAUGGGACCUUGAUGUAUACACUAUUGCACUCAUAUGUGAUUGGUGUAUAUACUUAGUUGAGGUUUCCAAAUGUGUUUACCUUGUUUUGUCGGAUAACUUGAAAAUUGGUAAAAUGAUACGAACUUGUCGUAACCUGUGAUUUUGAUGAUUUUGUCGUAGUAGGCCGGUGAAACGCACAUGUAUAUUCAACUACACUCAUAUGUGAUCUAAGUGUAUACAUAGUCGAGGCCCUAGAGUUUAUUUACUUGGUGUUAGUUCAUUUGUCUCAAUUAUUUUAAAGUUGUAAAAUGAGAGUUGAACUUUGUCAAAAAUGGUUCUUUAAAGCCAAUUACCUUAUAAAUCUUUUGUAGAUAACUUUAUAUGACUAAAUGAAGAUAUGUGAAUGAAUUUUUAAUUGUUGAAUAUGAUAUUAUCAUAAGGUGUUGCAUUUUCUCUUUACUUGGAAUAUGAUAAGUAUUUGGAAUGGUGGAACUAUACUAUAUGGUUGAUGUUGAUUAAUAUUUAUAUAUCAAUUGAUGUUGAUGAUUACUGAUAAUUAUGAUGAAAAUGUGAUGAUGACUCUUAAUUGGAUUAUGACUUUAUUGUUGUGUGGACGUAAAUAUUUGAUAAUGCAAUUGUUGUUGAUGUUAUCCUUUAUAUUGUUGUUGAAUAUUUAUGAGGUGAUUUUGCAUUGUCAAGUCUUUCCUUGUAUGUCCAUGCAUCAUAGUCAUGUUGAGUCUUGAUGUUGUAAAGGAGGGUUACUCUUUUACUUUGGUGAUAAUGUAAGACGGGUGUGAAAUUUUACAUAUGAUGUUUUUGUUGCAUCAUGUGUGACGACCUUGAGGUGAUUUGGUACCACAUGCAUAUAUGUGUCGGGAUUAGGCACAUAUCAUAUUGGCGUGAGUCUUAAUUGAUGUAUUUGAAUGAUGAUUGAUGAUGAUAAGUGUGUUUGAUGAAUACAUACUUGUGAUAUUUAGAAUUGUUGCAUGAAUGUGUAUAUGGAAGUUAAUUGCUCAUGAUUAAUUAAUUGAUACUUGAUUUGAUUCAUUUAUGUCUAACUAUUUAUGUGGAUUAUGAUUGUUGUAAAGCUUACCCCUAGUGGUUUUGACCACCUACCUGUCUAUAUGGAUGGGUAGACGAAGUGCAAGAUUAGUCGCUUUGGUGAGUUGCUUGGUGAUUGCUUAGAUAGAGGGAGUUAUCUCCGUUAUCGUUUCCUUAGAGUCUUAGGAUAGGCUCUGAUCUAGGAUGUAUGUCUUAUGAUUAUUCUAGAUUGUUUAUUUUGGAUUUAUUUGUGUUGUGGAGAUUUACCCAAUUGUCGGAAUUUGAAGAAUUUUUAUGUUGAUGUAUUUUGACCUCAUGGCAUGUAUACUUUUGAAGUGUAUGGUUUAUAUCCGCUGCAACGGUAUAGAAUUUUUAUAUAUGCUUGUUAUUUGAACAUUGUUGAUGAUGUGGCGUCUAUUUCUUGGAUAUUUAUAUUAUUCGCGUGUUUUAUUGCUUUAAUAGAAAUAGGGCGCUACAAAAAACAUGCUAAAAAUAACGUAAGAUGUCCUGUCAUCAUACAACGAUUGAGAAAAAGAUAAAGAUUGUCUAAUACCCAAGACUUCUUACAUAACUAUUUCAUCAAAGCAGAAUAGUUCAAAAACUGGAAGGUGUGGGUUUUCAUGACCUAGGAAUACAGGUAGCUCAAGUGAUGACAACAUAAUUUAUGGGAAAUAUGAGAAUCAUCAAGUCUGUGGUAAUGUCAAAUGGAUUCUCAAUCAGAAAAGAAUGCAGAACCUUUAUCCCAGACUUUCCCUCGAUCAUCCAAGAACCAAAUACCAAAGAUCUAGCAGACCUAGUGUCACAAGCUUCUGAAGAUCUAAUCUGACAUGGACCAUGCUCCUAGGGCAUGGACCAUGCACCUAGGGUAGGGUGCGUUUCACAGUCACAUGCGCCUAGGGCAUGGAGUGUGCUCCCUGAGAACUAAAAAAGUGUGGGGCAAAAUUGAUUUUUUUUCGACUUUUGUGUUGUUAUUUUAUGUUGUGAUUUUCUCAGAUUGGAGUGGAGGUAGGAUGUGAGAGUUCAACAGAUCACCAUUUGUAUGACUGAACAGACUAUUCAGAAAAUCUGAAUCAGUGUUUUGAUAAAUGGUUUAGCUAGAGGGUAAUGAUAUAGGUGGCGAAGGAAUAAUGAUGGAUGGUACUGAAGAAAUGUUAACAUAUUAUGUAAGCUCAAGAUCAAUACCUUUUGUAUUAUGAGAUUCUUCUGCUUUGCCUGGUGAGGUUGGCUCAACGGUAGCUGUUGUGAGGUUGGCUCAACGGUAGCUGCUUCUGUGACUAGCAUGCUGACUUCUUCUGCUUGCUUCUGUUGCUUCUCUUGGUUCUCACACUCAUCUACAUCGAUGAAUAUUAGAUGACACAAAUCUUCCUUAGCAUGUACAUUCUUCUUCCUUUCUGGUGAGGGAAUGAGUGAGUGAAUAGUACCAGAGUUCCUUGUGAGCUUGGAAAAAUCCGUUUUGUAGACAGAUCACAAAGUCACAUACUCUUAAUUUGUCUCUGAGUCGGUUUUGGAUUGCCUCGUCUUUUUGGGUGCUUGAGAAACUUUCUCAUCACCUUUCCUCUUAACCUCGACUUUCUUUAACUUCUUUGUUGGAGGAGAUGUUGUGACUUUGGAUGAUUUCCUCUUAUUCUUCUUGUUGUCUGCAGUUUCUGAGUCACCAGGAGUUUAAUCCGGAAAGAACUAAUCCGCAACUAAUUACUAAUAUUUUUCAUUGAAAAAAAAUAAUUUUAAAUAAGACUGGUACCUUGGUCUGUUGUAAAUUUGUAAGAACUAAUUUGACAGACAAUGAUAUAACUCAAAGACUAAUUUAUUUGUAAGUGCAAUAAUUUUGUUACUAAUUUUUGACCGUAAAUAACACACAAGUUAGCAGAAGGACCAAGUUGUUCAAUAUAAUUCAAAAUGUGAUUGUUUUUGCCAUGGCAUCCCCCAGUUUUUCUAUAAUUACACAAGAUUCCCUUUGUCUCGAUGGUUAGGAAGUACAAUUUUCUUUUGGAUGUCUCGUGUCUGAGUCCUAAUUCCCCUCAUUUUUAUAUUUCUAUUAUAUUAUAUUUUAAAUUUUAUUAAAAAAAUGUUCUUGAGGGGGAAUCGAACACGCACCACUACACUGAAUUCUAGCAAAAAACUGACCCCUAGACCGGUUACUGAUCUGAAGAAUAUUAUGAAACAACUAAACAUAUAUUCCAUAAAUUUUGGCACCCCCAAGAUAAAAACUCAAGAUCCGCCAUUGCCUAACUCAAGGUCCUAAAUACGCCACUACCAUUAACUAUAAUUAAUAAGAGUGUUUUAGAAAAUGAAACAUAUUUUGAACAUAUUUCUUAUCAUUUCUUUAACAAUUAUGUAAAACUCAAAAGGAACCCUUAAUUUGAGACAGAGGAUAUAUAAUAAUCGAUGAAGUUUAAUAUCUGCAAAAAAGUGUUAUUAAGUGAAGUAAACUUAACAAGGGUGACACUUGUUUUCUUUUGGUAAGGUGUGGGAGCACUCUUGACUGAGUUUCUAUUUUUUUUUUUUAUAUUCUUUUGAAAGUUGUAGUGGUGUAAUUGGGUGGUUAGUUGAAGUAAUUUUCGUUUUGGUUCUUGCUUGAUCUAUUUUGCAUUGUGAAAUUUCAAUUCUUAGUUUGCUUUCUACAUUGACGGAGUUGCUAAGUUGCAAUCAAACUUUUGAGUGUGUAUUAAUUAUAACAGUAAGAGUGUUGCUAGCACUACUCUUAUAUAAAAUCAGAUGUAUUUUUAAAUUUAUUUAUUUAUUUUUUUUUUUUUAAUUUCUACGAAAGUGGUGCACUUUUCCAUGAAUAUGCUUUUAGUGCAACUCCUUACCAAUGUAGUCAAACAAUUUCUUAAAACUCAUUGUUAUUAGUCAUUUCGAAACAAUGUAUUCACCAAGACAAAGGAGUGGGUGGAAGGAUAAUGGGUGCAUGCACAAUCAAGAAAAAGUUAGGUGAACAUUACAAUCAAAAUAUAUAGCAUAGAGCAUCAAAAUUUAUCGUAUGAAACAAUGUUUUUCUAAAAUAUGAAUGUGAACAAAUAACCCUUCAACUCAUAAGAUGAUCUUUAAUAUAUAGAAUUAGAAAGUUAGAGUAUCAGUACACCGAAAUUUAUAUAUUCAAAAGUGAGGCGUAGUUGGUUUUCCUCUUUAUGUAGUAUAGUUCGGUUUUUCCAUUUUAUUAUGGUACUUAUUCCUAUCAAAUUGAUAAAUCAGCUUUAUCUUAUAAUUGAUUUAACUAAUGAUGACUUGAACAUCAAUAUUAUAUAUUCGGAUAUACGAGUACUUCAUCGUGCUCUUAAUUUAGAGAUGUUUUGAGUUUGUUUACAAAUUGAAUCUUUGAAUUUUAGACAUAGAACUUGUACUCUUUUAGAUAUAAUAUACCGAUUUGAAUGGAUAAAUACCGUAAUUCCAAACAUAUAUUUUUUUUUCACACACAUACCUCAUCCAUUACGAAACGCAGGAACUAAAGCUAUAUAAUAUAGUGAAGCUAAUUUAAUAAAAAAUAUAUAUAUUUGGUGAUGCUAAACUCAGUCUAACUUAAUGCCAGUUCAAAAGGAACACUGUGGUAUGGAGGAAUUCUUUGUUUUGCAUUUAUAAAUGGCAACUAUACCCUAUUAAUCAUCAUCAUAAAAAUAAUUUUUAUAAUGUAUGAGACCAAGUUUCACGUCUCUAUUAUUUUUCAUCAUUUUUUAGAAUUGUACGAUCUUGUACCAGAUCUUCGUUUAGUUAUGAUGAUAGCAACCACUCUCACUGAAAAAUUAUAUAAUAACAUUUUUUUGGCAUAUUUAAUUACUGAUCCUGUCGGUGUAUUAUUGUAAAAUUAGGCAAUUUGUCCAAUCAAUUCACACAUAAUUUCAAACCUGGCAACUAUAUAAAAACAAAAUCAUAGGUAAAUAAUGUAGAAAAUCACCAACAACCCUUGAAUUUUGUUACAAGAAAGGGCCAAGUCAUCACCUUAUCAAGAUUGUGAGUGGAUUCACAAAGAUCACGACUAGUAUAAAAGGAGGAAGUCACUCUUGUGUUUUCUGCACCAAACUCAUAAGUCACUAACAUGGCUUCCUCAAACUUCCUAGUGCUGCUUCUUUUUGCUCUAUUUGCCAUUCCUCAGGGUCUUGCCAAUUAUGAGAAGCCUCCGGUUUACCAACCACCGGUGUAUAAGCCACCAGUUGAGAAACCCCCGGUCUACAAACCCCCUGUAGAAAAGCCACCAGUAUAUAAGCCACCAGUAGAGAAGCCUCCAGUUUACAAACCACCGGUGUACAAGCCACCUGUGUACAAACCCCCAGUAGUGAAACCCCCAGUCUACAAACCUCCUGUUUACAAGCCACCGGUGUACAAGCCACCAGUUUACAAACCACCAGUAGAGAAGCCCCCAGUUUACAAGCCACCUGUAUACAAACCCCCAGUAGUGAAACCCCCAGUCUACAAACCUCCUGUUUACAAGCCACCAGUUGAGAAGCCUCCAGUUUACAAGCCACCAGUAGUGAAGCCACCUGUUUACAAGCCCCCAGUCUACAAGCCACCAGUAGUGAAGCCACCUGUAUACAAGCCUCCAGUCUACAAGCCACCCGUUUACAAGCCUCCAGUUGAGAAGCCUCCGGUCUACAAGCCACCUGUUUACAAGCCCCCAGUUGAGAAACCUCCAGUCUACAAGCCACCGGUUUACAAGCCUCCAGUCGAGAAGCCACCAGUUUACGGACCUCCUCACCACCCAUAGGACUCUCGGAUGCUUUUAAGUAAAUAAGUUAAAUAAGAGAUAUAUAAUGUUUCCAAAGCAAGGAUUAUAUAUUCUUGGAAUCUUCAUUUUAGUCUUUUGUUUACAAAUCCUAUUACCAAGAUAAGAAUGUGAAAGAAAAUGGUGCAUUUGUACUCCAAGUUAUGAAUAAGAACGUUGUGAUUUAGCACUUUUUAAUUUGUGUUGGUUGACUAAAUUGGACAUAGUAUAUAUAUACUCUACUUAAUACUCUGUCAUAUCAGUAAGGUGCAUGAAAGUUCAAUUUUCUGUAGUAGACAUAACGAAUAAUUAAUUUAUGUUUGAAUCUAGAAUUUACUAAACUUCACGUACUUGGAAUUUCAUUGCAUUAUAGCUUGACUCAGUAGUAGCUUUAGUGAAAAAUGAUUUUGGUGCUUAAAAUUUUAAGAGUUGGAGUUUGGACAAAUUAUACACUCAUAUAAUUUAGUUAUCUUUUCAAAUUUACAAUUACAAUUUUCAAGGUUCUAUAUUUGUGUUGAUGCACCAAUUAAGAGAAUGAUCAAGAAAAUUAGGUUUUUAAUUGGUUUUUAUCGAUGAUUUCUGAAGAUAUAUUUCGGCAGAUGAACUAAUCCUUCAAUUUAAGAGAUUAAAUUGCCAUUUUACAAAUUUCAAUGAUUAUAUUAUUACCUAAUCUUAAAUAUAAUUUUUAGGGCUAAAACGAUGAUUCACUCAAUAUAUAUUGUGAUUUCUUAUUUUUUUUAUGAUAUAAAGAUAGCUGAAGUUGUGUGAUAUACAAAGUUAUAUUUCCUUUGGAAGAUAAGAGUCCCCCACCAUAUUGACAUGAAAGUGAACGUGGGAAAAUAUGUGCAAUUAAGGUUCCAAAUAUUAAACAAUAGCCACAAUAAUUGUCUAUAACUCAUAACAAAUAUAAGAACUUGAUAAGAAAAAUAAUAAAUAUAAGAACAUGAGCAGGCCAUAGUUUUUUAGCCCGAGAAGCUUCAUCUUCUUUUUAAGUCUAACAUUUUUUAAUCUUCAUUCAAAGAAGAUUGGUGAUUUUGGGAUAUUUUUAUAAGAUAGGUAAAUAAUGAAAUUUGUGUUGUACUCGAAGAAAUCUACCACACGAUUUGAAUGAAUAUAUUACUUUUAGUCAAAAUAAAUUAAAAUAAAGAAUGUAACAUUUCAAACUCACUCACAUAUAAAGAAUGAAUUUACAAUCUUUAAAACACAAAUAUUUAAUCCUUAAAUCUAACACCUCUCUUAGUUUUAGCGAAAUGAACUUUGUGUUGUACUCGAAGAAAUCUACCACACAAUUUGAAUGAAUAUAUUACUUUUAGUCAAAAUAAAUUAAAAUAAAGAAUGUAAAAUUUCAAACUCACAUAAAAAGAAUGAAUUUACAAUCUUUAAAACACAAAUAUUUAAUCCUUAAAACUAACACCUCUCUUACAUUUAUUUUGUUUACGUACCUUUAUUUUGUUUUCAAAUACUUAUAUUUAGUUGAAUUCCUUCAUUAUACUCUUUUUAAUGAAUUUUCUGAACAAAAUAAAAUUGUGUUACUCAGUCACUCAAAUUAGAGUGGAUAGAGCAAUGAAAAUAUUUAUUACUAUGUAGUUUAUAGUUGGAGUGAUCGGAUAGUCUAGUGGGAUCUUAGCCACUCUCGUUUGACUCACUUGGAGCAUGUCAAAAAUAUUUUUUUGAAAAUGAACGAUGGAGAUUUACUUUGCACUAGGUCCAGUGAAAAAGAUAUGGGAGAUAAUCCCAAUCUUAGCUUAUUGGGUAGGCCAGUGUUGAGAAUGGAUUCUCUCAAAUGUAAUUAUCUCACUAGUCUAAUUACCAACACAAUCAAAGAGAAAAAAUAGUGGGAUGUAAGUAAAAAAUCCAUAUUCUACUUACUCAAUCAUCUAUACAAGCUACUUUAAUUAUCUAGUCGAACGUUACGAGCGUUACAAGAGAAAUCAGAAUAUCGAUGAUCAAAAUCCUUCAAAGCAAAAGAUGUUGUUGUGUGCAAGUGUGAGUUAUAUGCCCCACAUCGGAUAAAAGAGUAAAGGUUGAACACCUUAUAAGUAAGAGGACCAUAAACCCAAAGCCUUAAGGUUUUGGGUAAGAGUGUGGUGUCUCCCUUGCUUGUCUGGUUGUUCUAGCCUCGAUGUGGACGCUCCCCCAAGCUCCCCUCGCUGACCCAACAGUGGUAUCAGAACCCCGGUUCGAUGAAGGGUACGACUGAGGCCGCCUGUCAGUUGUGCAGAAAGCAGCAACGACGGUACAAGCAACAAGUGGCUUCUUGUGCAGCAACGGCUAUACAUGCAAAGUAAAAAGCUUCCACGCGGUACAAGCAACAAGUGGCUUCUUGUGCAGCAAUGGCUAUACAUGCAAAGUAAAAAGCUUCCACUCUAGGGGAGCGACUCACGCUUGAGGGGGAGUGCUGUUGUGUGCAAGUGUCUGUUAUAUGUCUCAAAUCGGAUAAAAGAGUAAAGGUUGAACAUCUUAUAAGUUAGAGGACCCAUAAACCCAUAGCCUUAAUACUGUCCUUUUUGCAUAUUUAGCCCCCCCGAAACCAAUUUUAACCAAUUCAACGAUGACGUGGAUGUCACGUGUGUAAUGCUUUAAUUAUUUUAGUUUUAGAUAGAUACAGAGAGAGAGGUGUCAUAUGUCAAAAAAAAAAAAAGAUAGAAAAGAUUUCCUUCCUUGAAUCGUUGAGGUAACUACAAACUAAGACAAUGAUGUUAUUGGUUACUUGUUUCUAAUACCUUUGAAAAAGAUAGUUAGACCAAUGUAUUGGUCAUUAACUCUUUUCAAUGGUUACUACCCUAGUGUCUAAGGUGAGUCAUAACAACGUCAAAGUAAGUACAAUUAUUAUUAAUUUAUGUCUACACCUAAUCAAUAAUUGAAGGUUAAGAUAGGUCAAGCCAACAAAGUUAAGGUUAAGAUAAUCAUUUUCACCUAAAUUGAUUUAUGAACAUAUGUUAAUGAUGACAGUCCGUCAUAUCACAUUUUUAGAGUCUUUUCAAUUAAGUUUUUAUUCUAAUUUUAUUAAUUUAGUACUUAAUUUAGAGUCAUUUUAAAUAAAUUGUCAUUUUCUUAUUAUUGAGUCAACUAGUGUAUUAUUACUAUUAUUAUUGGUCAAUUAGUGGCUAGUAAAGAGAAUGAAACAAAAACAUGGUUUUGUGAUGGAUGUGAUUGGCCAAGAAAAAUGAUAACAAGUUGAACGAAAGAAAAGAAGACCACACAAUGUUGCAUUAGGGUGCAGGAAUCAAAACCAAUAUAAUUGGGCUUUCUUUCAUGGACGUUGAACCAAGAAAAAGAAAAGAAAAGAUAACUUGCUGCAUAAUGUUAAUUUGGAAAGAAAAAUAGGUUUGACAAGCUAUAAAAGGAGACCACGCACAGGAACAAAGCAGACGAUUGGGAAAGAAAGAGCAGCACGCGGUACGAGACAAAAGGAGGAGGAGAAAAGCUCAUGGAAUUUGGAAUAUGCAACAGUACUGAUUAAAUAGAACAAAGCCGGUAGACCAUAAUUCGAUCGGUUUAUUUCUUUUAGUAUGUUGUUUAUUCCUUUAAUAUGUCUAGUUAAUUCCAUUUGAUUGAGUCACGAUGAACCUAUUGUAAUAUAUGAAUCAGUAGUUAAAACUCUUUUUAUUAUCAAUAUUAUUCAGUCUUUAUUCAGAAUUAUCUGUGUUCAUUGCCUUUCAUAUGAUUGUUUGCAUUGUUUGCAUUGUUUGCAUGACUAUUAACCCUAACUUCUUACAAUCACAUAAAUUGAUCUUAGGAAUUGAAUGACUACUAACCCUAACUUUUAAUCCUGAAAUAAUAAUUCUGUUUAAUUCAACAUAGGAACCUAGAGAUAGGAAAUUGAGGAUUAUGACAUAUAACGUUCUAACAUCGCUUCCGCGGUUAUUCAACCAGUUUAAAAGAUUAAAAGGUUAUAACUUAGGAAAUGGUUUUGAGUCAAGAGAUUGAUCAAAACUAAUUAGUUAAUUUGUCGUAAAGAUUGAAUAAGUGUUGAGAGCAAAGAGAGAUAAACUAUUUCACAUAAAACAAUAGAGGAUUUACCGGCUGAUCAUCUGUUUUAAUCCAAUUAUCAAACCAUUUUAUUUUAUGUUAUUUACUUUUUAUUGCACACAAACGUACUGCCUCAUACACUUAUAAAAUUUACACAUCCUAGAUAUUAACUUUAUUGCUAGUUUGAGAUUAACACAGUCCUCGUGGAUACGAACUUAUUUUAUUACUUCGAUAGUUUUAGUACACUUGCUAAAAUAUUUAUGAGUUAACCAAUAAAGAGUAUCAAGAACAACUUUAACCGAAUAAAAUAGAAAAGUAAUUAAAUGAAAUUUAUAGAAUUAUUCAAAGUUACAUAAUCAAACAAUUACGAGGAAGUUCUUAUUUCAUGACCUAACAUAUAUAGUAUUAGCUACUCAUAGAUUUUCUAAACAUAUAUAAAUAGAUAUGAAGAAGAAAGCAUGAGAAAAGGAUCAGCAAGUGAGGAUUAAUUGGCUCCCUAAUGGCCGUGGUCACUCCAAUCCUUCCAAAAUUGUGUUUCUGCCUUCGUCUUCUCGCUAAAAAGUAUUUUCCACUAACUUAGGUUUCAAUAUUUAUAGGUGUGCAUUUCCUUAAGUUUUUGGGAAAUUGGCACACGAUGCGAUCCUAUUCCUCAUGAUGCGAGGAUAACAUAACUAAUCUUGUUGGCCUCACGUUUAUUGUCCCGAUGCAAAGCUCAUGAAGAUUGAUACGAUUCAAGGAAAUGUGAUUUGAUUUAACCAAGCAAAAACCAAGAUCAUAGGAUAACAAUGAUACGAUUCAAAGAAGUGUUAACUUGAUUCACAGUAAUACAAUUCAAAGAAUCAUGAAUCGUUUAAAAAUUUAUGGAAAAUUAGCAGAAACUUUUCAUGAUAAGAUUCAAAAAAGUUUGAAUUGAAUCAAUUGGUUAGAAAAACAUUUUGACCAAGAAAAAUGAAGUUUUCUUUAUACAAACAAAACACAAGACAACAAGGGAUCAUAUGAUUUAUGAGGCAAGAUUUCUAGGUAUGCUUUAACAUGAUAUUAGUCAAUAACAACUAAUAUCUAAACAUCAUCAAAUAAAAACUACCUAAUGAACAUCAUAAAAACACAAACCUAUAACUACACAACUUCAUCCAACUUAUUGGGUGUACCGCAUUAACUAGAUAAUGGUCAUAUCUAUACUAUAUAUAAAGAAAAUAACAUGUUUUUCAAGGUGAGAAAAACACGAGAGGGGGGGGGGGGGGGGGUUGAAUUGUGGUUUCUUUCUCUUCUCCUAAAACCGAAUUCACUAUUCAGAACUUGAUAGAGUUCAGCUUCUGAAGUAGUGUUCAGAGUCUAGUUGCAGCGGAUAAGAAAAGAGAGAGAGAGAGAGAGGCAAGACACAAAGCAACUAUACAGAUUCCUUCCACAAACCGGAACUAGUCAUGUCCCCCUUGCACCUCCAAGAAGAGUUCACUAAAAUCAAUAUUCGAUUACAAUUGCUCAGGGCUCAAAAUAGCAAGAGACUUCAAACUACUCAAGAACAACUACAAGAGAUUUCCUAUGCUCAAGAACAAAAUCAAGAGACUUCCUAUGCUCAAGCACAACUGCAAGAGACUUCAUACAAAUCAGAUAAGACUCUUAAGAUUCUAGAAUUUCUAAAAUAUGAAAGUUGAUAAGAAAUUCUAAGUGAACUUUGAUGUGAAACAUUUUUAGCAGAGUUUUGGCACUUGUAAAAUUGUUGUAAGUCUCUUAGAAAUCUUCAAGUCUUCACUCCUUUAUAUAGAGGUGUGAAAGAGACGUUGUUGAUUUCCAACACAUUAAAAGAGUCGUUAUUGAAGCUUGAUCAAAUUUCAAUUCCAUUCCAAGUAUAGAGGAAUACCAGCGUAGUCACAAUUGUUGUUCUUGUACUAUUGCAGACAGAAAACAGAGUAGUGGAGAAGGUGGUUGUACAAUUGUACUAUUGUCCUUUUCCAAUGUUCUUCAAGGGAUAAGCAUCCAAUGACUUCAAAUUCCUCUUAAUUAGUUGUUGCUCUAGACUUCUAUUCCUUCUGCAAUGAUAGGCAUGAUAAUAACAACUCUUGACAAAUAUUGAAGCUUCCAGUCUUUCAGCUUAUGAUCUUAAACUUCUAACGACGUCAGCUUCUGGUAGUCUCCAGCUUAUGAUAAAAGUGCUUCUGAUGAUGUCAUCUUCAGAACCUCUUUGUCUUCAAAACCUCUUUUCCUUCAGAUGGUUCCUUGCAACUCAAGCUUCCUUUUUUUAAAUUCCAUUGCUCUCAUUUGUUCUUCUAGAACCCAUGCUUCAUUUAAAGACACUCAAAUUUUUGUAUAUGGUCCUGCACACUUGAACAAAUAUUAUCAUAUCCAAUUGAAUUUUUUUAAUACCUUGUUAUCAUCAAAACUUAAAGGGUAAUGUUAAACACAUUUUGUUCCAACAUUUUUGACUCUUUUAGAAUGACUUUUUCUCUUUCCAAAAUUACCAUCAACUUUCAAUACAAAUAACACAUACAACAAGAAUUGUGUUAUUUGAACAUCCAUAUAUGCGACAACUUUUGUGACAACCAAAAUUUUACAAAGAAAAUGAAGUAGUGGCACAAAAACCAAAGCAAUAGAGAGAGAAAGUAAAAAGAUAAUGUGAGUAUGAGAGAGAAAGUUGUCACAAAAGUUGUAAAAAAUAGUUGUUCAAAUAUCAUUUCUCCAUACAACAAAUAGAUGAGAGUAAAUUCAAACAUUAAAAUAAAAUUGUAAUACACACGAUAUGAGUAUAUAUGUCCAGUUUUUUCCUUUAUCAUUUAAAAAAUGUAACAAACAAGAUGAGAAUAUCAGAGAGAUGAGAGAUAGUGACGUGAGACAAGAAAGACCUCUCCGUGGCCCGCCUUUGCUUGAACGGUGGUAACCGCACCAGAAUUUAUCUCCAUUUGAGAGAUACACUAGGGGGUAGGUAUGCAGCCUGGGUGGUAGAAAAUGGGGGGGGGGGGGGGGGGGGUAUGGGUGAUUGGUCUGUAGUUAGGUCACGAAAGAGGAAAGCGACGCAAUCGGAAGAUCGAGGAAGGGACAAGUCAAGGGUUUCAGAGCGACGCGGAGGCACGGUAAGGGUUAGAGGGAUCGCACAUAAUGAUUACGGGUUUGAUGGCAGAGAGGCGCGACAAUCAGCAAGGGCUCUUCAUGAUCAGCAAGGUUUGGGUCGUUAUCAGUUUGGAAACAACGAUUUGGCUUUCGACAGAUGCGGGUCUGAUGCUAUCAUGGGAAAAGGCUUCUUCGACGACAAACAUAACAAUGGUAGUAAAAUUACUUUCUAUUUUGCAAACAUUCCUGAUUAUAUGCCGUUGUUUCGUCUCCGUCAAUACUUUGAAGUGUGUGGUAUUUUGUCUGAUGUCUAUGUUGCCAGACAACUAAAUUCACGUGGUCAGGUCUAUGGCUUCGUUAGAUUUUUGAAUGUGAGGAACAAGGACAAAUUAGCACAAGAUUUGAAUAAUGUAUGGAUUGGUGACUUUAAGGUCUGGGCGCGUGAAGCAAAAUUUGAUAGGUUUGCACAAUAUGAUGAUGAUCAUAGGGUGUCUAUGCAUGGUGAUAGAAGGGAUGAGAAUGGAGGGGAGAGGAGGCCGGUGGUGAGAACUAAUGGUGAUGGAGUAAAAAAUAUGAGGAUGUGUAAUUUUAAAAAAAUAGGAGGGAUAAUAAAAAUAGUUGUUGGUCUCAUUUUAAAAAAAAAUAAAAAAAUUGUUUAUAUAUUUUUGUUAUAUUAUCGGUGUCAAUGAAAUGGAUAAUCAUGGUUAAUUUGAUUUGUUAUAAUUUGAAAGCAACACACAUUUAUAUCUUUAAUUUUAAUCAAAAUCAAAAUGUUAUAAAAAAUACUAUUGCUAAUUUUCAAAUGUUAACACAAUAAAAAGAGCAGAAAGACGGAGUGCCCGUCUUUUCACUAGUUAUAAUAAAAGAAAUUUUAUUUGAUGUAUUGAUAAUGAUACUGAAACUUUUUACACAUACAUCCAAACAUUAUUCAUGACAUCACUUUUAUACAAGUUCUAAAAUAUCGCUGUAACAAAAAGGUUAAAAAACAACUCAUGAAAUAUGUACAUGAUUUAAUUGAAUAUAUGUGUAAAAGAAAUUAUAUAUCAACAUCUAUAAAUUAAAUUUAUUAUUGAAAUGAAAUACUAGUAAAAAUGAUGGCCAGCAUUUAUGAAAAUAAAGGUCUAACUGAUCAUGGGCCAAUUUAAAUCAAAAGUAGAUUUGUGCCCUCUAAAGGGUACUAGAAUAUAAAAGAUGGACGGCAAACAAGGGACACAAAGAAUAGAGAUGCUCAAUUUAAAACACAACUUCGAUUUUUUUUUUAUUUACUAAAAAAUAACUUAGAUUGUUUAGAGAAGAUAGGAAUUCAAUUAGUCUGACAACAUAUUUUGGAAGUACAAUUAGUUUCACAAUUAACUAUUUUGAUAAUCCUCCUUAUUAAAAAAAAAUUAAUAUUCCAUUUCGUCAAAUAAAACAAAAAGUUAGGGAGUGAUGAGAGAUCUUAGUCAAUAUUGUUUUGCACCAUAAUAUUUUUGAGAGAUUGAUUUGGCAUUUACAUGCUUCCAACAAAUACAAUGUAACAAGUGCUUAUAAUUAUAUGAUAUCGUCUCUUAAUAUUGUGACAGCUGAUCACUUAAACACAAUUUGGAACAACGAGGUCCCUCUGAAAGUUAGUCAUUUUACAUGGAGUUUGCUCUGUAGCCGAUUACCAACAACAAAUAAUUUUAUCAGAAGGCACAUUCUUAAUCAUAAUGUUCAACUUUGUGUAGGCUUUUGUGGUAUAAUGUAAGAUAUAGACGAUCUAUUUCUCUCUUGUGAUUUUUUUGAAAUUUUUUAGAUUGGUAUCUAUAAUUGGCUCGGCUUUACUAUGGUACAUCCAGAACAUCCGAAUAACUUUUCAACUCAUAUGGUUAACUUGUGUUUGGGUGAUUUGAUGGGAAAGAAAUGCUUGAAGUUUUCGCAAUCAAGAAGAAUCGUUACAACAUCUUCUUGACAAAAUUAAGCUUCAAUCCUAUUAGUGGUUGAAAGCGAAUAGAAUUUUCGCUCAAUUUUAAUAAAGUGGAUACUAUAUGAGAUUUUCGCUCAAUUUUUUAUGAGUAUGGACUGCACUUGGCGUUAGUCAUUGAACUCAUUUUACGAGACUCAAGUUCCAACUUAAGCCAAAAACUGAAACCAAACAAAUGAAGUAAAAAACUCAAGUUCCAAACUAAUGCGUGAUUUUAGUCAAAACAAUGUUUAUUUUUUGACAGUAGUUAGUUUUGGAUUACAGCUAUAUCCCUACACCCCACAAACUAUACCCCUCUCACCAAUAGACAAAACAAAAGAGUAGGUGGAAGGGUACAUAAUUAAGAAAAAGUUAUGUGAAAAACAAUAUUUUCUAUAGCCAAAACCAAAAGAUAUAUAUUGCAUUAUUGCAUAUAUACCAAUAAAAGAAGUACUGUGAAAUACAAGAUAAUGGCAUUAGAUUAGAAAUGGCCAAUUUGAUCUGUCUAUUUUUAAUCAUAUUAUUUAGAUUUGUUCAAUCUUUUACCAAAUCUUAUUUAGUUAUGCAAAAAGCAACACCUCUCGUUGAAAGAUAAUAAUAACGAUUUUUGGCAUAUGUUACUAAUAUUGAUUGAAAAAUGUUACCAAAUGAUGCAACUUCCCAACUCCAAUCCACUCAUAAUUUCAAACUUCGCUACCAUAUGAAAACAAAAUCACAGGUAGAAAUGUGUUGGAAAUCCUCAACAACUAUUGACUUUUGGUACAAAAGAGUGCCAAGUCAUUACUAAUUCAAGAUUGAGACAUGCAGCUGUGAGUGGAUUCACUAAGAUCACGACUAGUAUAAAAGGAGCUGGUCACACUUGUAUUUUAUGCACCAAAUUAUAAGUCACUAACAUGGCUUCCUCAAACUUUCUAAUGAUGCUCCUCUUUGCUCUCUUUGUCAUCCCUAAGGGGUUUGCCAACUACGAGAAACCUCCAGAGUAUCAUCCACCAGUUGAAAAUCCCCCAUUUUAUAAACCACCGGUAGAGAAACCACCUGUGUAUAAACCACCAAUAGAGCAACCUCCAAUUUAUAAGCCACCUGUAGAAAAUCCUCCAAUUUAUAAACCACCAGUAGAGAAACCACCCGUGUAUAAACCACCGUUUGAGAAACCUCCAAUCUACCAUCCACCAGUAGAGAUACCACCAGUGUACAACCCACCAGUUGAACAUCCUCCAAUUUACAAGCCUCCUGUAUACAAACCACCAGUAGAGCAACCUCCCGUCUAUAAGCCACCAGUAGAGAAGCCUCCAAUUUACAAGCCACCAGUAGAGAAACCUCCUGUUUACCAACCUCCUGUUUACAAGCCCCCAGUUGAGAAACCUCCAGUGUACAAGCCACCUGUAGAAAAGCCACCAGUGUACAAGCCACCUGUAGAAAAGCCACCAGUGUACAAGCCACCUGUAGAAAAGCCUCCUAUAUACAAACCACCAGUAGAGAAACCACCAGUGUACAAACCACCCGUUGAGAAACCCCCGGUUUAUAAGCCACCAGUAGAGAAACCACCUGUGUACAAGCCACCAGUUGAGAAGCCCCCAAUUUACAAGCCACCAGUAGAGAAACCACCUGUAUACAAGCCACCAGUUGAGAAGCCUCCAGCUUACAAGCCACCAGUUGAGAAGCCACCUGUAGAGAAACCACCAGUGUACAAGCCACCGGUUGAGAAGCCCCCAAUUUACAAACCACCAGUUGAGAAGCCUCCAGUGUACAAGCCACCGGUUGAGAAACCACCUGUCUACAAGCCACCUGUAGAAAAUCCACCUGUUUACAAGCCACCAUUUGAGAAACCUCCAAUUUAUAAACCGCCAAUAGAGUAUCCACCCGUGUACAAGCCCCCUUUUGAGAAACCCCCCAUCUACAAGCCACCUGUAGAGAAACCUCCUUUUUACAAGCCUCCGUUUGAGAAUCCACCAUUUUAUAUACCUCCAGUUGAGGAGCCUCCUGUUUACAAGCCUCCAUUCGAGAAGCCACCAAUUUACACUCCUCCAUUCUAGAGCCCACCUUACCACCCAAAGUUCCCUCGGGCAGGCGAUGGUACUCGUUAAUAGAACAUGCUAUGAAGAAAAUAUGUUAAAUAAGAGAUAUAUAGAGUUUUUUAUUUAAUCAAGGAAUAUAUAUAUUCAUGUAAUCUUCAUUUCAAUACUUUGUUUACAAUACUCUUGCUAUGAUAAGAAUAUGAGUGAAAAACAGAGAAAGAAAAUAGUGUGCUUUUCUAUUCGAAAUUAUGAAUAAGAUUUCUAUGAUUUAGAUGUUGUGUUGGUUGACUAAAUCGUGAUACAUCGACAGAGGCAGAGCCCCUCAUGCGCCAAGGUGGGUCAUGGCCCACCCCCAAAUUUUGUUUCUUAUUAUAUAUAUAUUAUGUUUUGUAAAUUUUUGAUGUUUUUGUAGCAUGUUGUAGUGGUUAAGAGCCUUUUUGCCAAGUCGUAUGUGCUAGGUUCAACUCUUGCCAAAACCAUUUUUAUUUAUUCUUUUAUUUUCUUUUGUAUAAAAAAAAAACAUAAUUCAUAAUUGUUAAAAUAAUCCUUUUUUUUGUUACUUAAUCCUUUCUUUCUUUAAUAAAACAUAACUCCUUUAUUCGAUUUAAAAUAAUCUUUCCUUUCCUUACUCUUAUUUUUGGAUACAAUUGUCUCUUUACUCUUUUAUUUUAAUUUUUUUUUUAUACAAAGGGGACUUCAACUCUUUUUUGUCAAAAAACAUUCUCUUUUAAAACAUAUAACAUAUUUUUUAUACUUAGUCGUUUGAUUCAAUUCGAUUUUAUACCUAUACAUCUGUUUAUUGAAGUCGAGUCAUUUAAUUCAGUCGUUAGGUUCAAUGGCCUAGUUGUUCGAUCAAUUAUCUUGAACUUUAUCAAGGUUGAUAAACAGUUCAUAUUUUAAAAUACCGGUUUAAAUUAUAUUCAACAAAUAACAAAUUUAUAGUCAUUGGAACCAACCAAUAAUAAAAUGUACUUGUAAGAAAAUAAAGCCUCAUCACUAUUUAUGGCCCACCCUAUACUUUUUUCCUAGCUCCGCCACUUUACAUCUUCGUAUUCUUUAGGAAGUUUCAACCUUGUUGACUAUGACAACAGUGACGACUAUAACGAGACUCGCUAUUGACUAUGACAACAGUGACGACUAUAACGAGACUCCCUACUUUUUGGUUUGCUUCAACAGGUUCUCAACAUAAAUAACUAACCAAGUUAAUUUGCCUGUGAAAUGUGAUAUUAGUAAGGUGCAUGAAGGUUAAGUUCUUUAGCAAAGCUUAGUAUCUUGAAUUAAAGAAUAUCGUUAAUUAAACUAAAUAUUCAUAUUAGGUAUCACAAUUUUCAAGACUUUAUAUGUACGUGUUGAUCCAUUAAUUAAGAGAAAUUAGACUUUAGACCCGUGCGUCGCACGGGUCAUUUCGACUAAUAUAUAAUAAUAAGUAAUGGUAAAAAAAAUUCUAAAAUAAAUAAAAGAUGAAGAGUAUUAUACAUUUUACUUACUCAAGUUCAAAAAAUAAAGUAGGAGAUGACAUGAAAUCGUUUAGUUGAAACAAACGAAUAUUAAAAAAUAAAAAUUAGACAACGACAGGGAUCUAAAAUUCUAUUUCUAAUCCUUCACAUAUCAAAAUUACAAUUGGUUCUCUUCAUUGUAAUCAUCUAAACUUAAUUAAAAAAUUUACAAGUGCAAAUAGAAUCGACAUUAUACAAGUCACUACUUGAUUCCAAAAACCUAUGUUUCAUGAAAACCACUCAUACCUAAAUAACAAUAAUAAACCUUCAAAACAAAAAUCAACUAUUCUCAAAGGACCCAAAAGAAAGAUUUUUAGCCUUCUAAAUCACAAUUUCUCUUGUUGUAUUGUUUUUGUGUCAAAAGCACCAUAAGUUGAAUAGUAGGCUCAGACACAUGACUUUCCUCAUAAGACAAAAUCACCAGUUUUUUAUAGGUUGAAAAAAUAAAUCAAAUAUCCUUAACUUUCAAUAACGCUUAGAAACAACUGAAACUUUUGCAUUAUCUCAAUCCACAAACAAAAUUGAAGACCUUUAUAUUUGCUUUAGGCACCUUAAGGAAUUCUAUGUAAAUUGUUUUCCUGCAAUGAAAUGCUAAACACAAUGAGCAAAGAAGAAGAAUUAACAACAAUAUUUGGAUUGUUUUAUUUAGCUUACAAUUCUUUAAACUAAUCAANAACACAAUGAGCAAAGAAGAAGAAUUAACAACAAUAUUUGGAUUGUUUUAUUUAGCUUACAAUUCUUUAAACUAAUCAACAAAAAAUUAAAUUUGCAUUAUAUCCUCCACAAUAUCAAGAAUUUUUCAAAGGGAUCAUUCUAUUUGUAUGGCUAUGAUGAGAACUCAUGUGUGUCCAUGAAGACCAGCUCUACGGAUAACCAUGUUCAUAUUAACUAUUUUAGGAGUGAAAAUAGGAUUGGAUUGGAUUUAGUAGUGAGCUGUUGUUUUUGAUUUCAGAAGCAUUUGAAAAUAACAUUUUGAUUAAAUGGAAAUAAUAGGAAGAAUUUGUUAAUAAAAGUGAUUUUUUUUUUUUUUUUUAUGUUGAUCUUUUUAUUGUUGUGUUAGAAACAAAAUAGGACGAAAUUGUAUUUUUUUUUUUAUGUUUAUCUUUUUAUUGUUGUGUUGGAAACAAAAUAGGAGGAAAUUGUUAUAGGAAUAGGAGGAACGAUUUUUAAAGUUUAUCUCUUAAUUAAACAGGUUUAAUUGAACACGGGGGUAAUAACGUAAAAGUCAUCAUAAAAUCUAGGUUAAAAUUAGGUUAAAAAUUGGCUUACGGGUUAACUUUUAUAUAUAAAGAAGUCAAGAGAAUCUAGAUCUGUGAAGCCCCGAUACUUCAAAAUGGAUGAUGUAUCGUAUCCGCUGCGUAUUCUGUAUCGAUACCUGCCCGAUACUUCUCAAAUUUAUGAGUUUUAUUUGAUUCUUCGAAUUCGAAUUUUGAGAAUUUUAGGGUUUGAAGGUUGGUGAUGGAGGUGAAUCUGAGUUUAUAUUAAGAAUUGAUGAAGAAUUUAAGGAGAGUGCAGUGAUGGAUAGGUAACUGAGUAUGAAUUGGUAUGCAGUUUGGAAAAACAAAACAAGAGGCAGUAGCAGCACCCCCACCCUUCCUCUACUUCUUCGACAAUAUGAGUGUUAGAUUCAUUUUCCUAGGUGUGAUUUUGAGGCAGAUGAAUAUGUGUGAGAGAUUGUAGAGGAAGAUCUCAGAUAUAGCUUUUAGGGAUGAACAUGAAUGAAUGAAUUUGUAGAUGAAGAUGAAUGUUGUUUGAACAUUUAAUUAAGAAAUUUUUAAUUGUUUUUUGUUUUAAUAUUUGAAAUUAUUAAAUUGUAUUUUGAAAUUCAAAAAACCUGUUUUAAUGACAUGUAAAUGACAUUUUCCAAAUUGGCAAUGCCACAUAGGCAAAAUUUUACCACCUGUGCAUUUUUGGAUGUGAAAAUAGGGGGUAAGACUAAAACUGCAACAAAAAUGAUAAUUGAAAAACAAUUUUAAUCUGUUUUAAAAGGGCAGGACCAAUUUCCUGAGUAGGCCACAACACGAGGACCAAAAGUGUAAUUAAGCCUUAUAUUUAUGUUGAUGUGCUACAAGCUUAUGACUGGUUUCUUUUGUUUGAUAAUAUAUUUGCAUAUUAAAUAAAAUGGUUAUAAUUAUAUUCUACAUUUAAUUAUAUAAUUUUUUUAUUGACGUAUCCCAACCAUAUCGUAUCUUGAUUUUUGAAAUUUUUUCGUAUUGACGUAUCGGUGCAGUAUCGUAUCUCGUAUUCGGGCUUCAUAGAUCUAGACUAUUAAUUUUUUUGAUAAACAAGAUUAUUAUUAUUUUUUGACAAAAACAAAGUGAGAUUCAUUCAUUCAAAUUGAUAGAGUACAUCAGAUACAAACAUUGCUAAAAACGUAAAGGAUAAAUCUAUGAACAAACUCACAACACUAAAGUUCAUACAACAGCAAAAUGUCUACAAAUAAUAUGAUAAAAUCUAAGUCACCAAAAUAUUCAUGCUUCCGGGUAUGCAACGUUGGCGCCCAAAUCAUUGAUUGAAUUUGUAAUUGACUAAUGUCGAUCUUUCAACAUGAACUAAACGAACACCGCGUCAAGACGCGAAAUCAAACAUCACAUAAGACCACUAACAACACAAUGCCACAAUUAGAUGACGAAAUCACAAAAACUCAAAAGGGAAAACUUGAUAUAUGUGAAAACCAUUUGUUUAGAUCGAAAGAAAAGAGAAAAAACGAUGUAGAGGGGUGAUUUUAGGUCAAAAAUGACCUAAAACCAGUUCUUUUUAAUAAACGAAGGAGAAAGAAUGUUUAGAGAGAAGUUGGAGUUUUUUUUUACUUAAAAAAUUAGGAUAAGCAAAAUUAUUAUAGAGGGAUAAAGGGCUCCCCAACCCAUAUACAAAAUGAUGGUUGCAAUGCCAUGUAGAAAAUAAAAAGAUAACAUUGCCUUUCUUUUUACAAUUAAACUAGUUACAAACCCGUGCGUUGCACGGGUUUAAUAACGUAUUUUAUAAAAAAAAAAUCUUUUAAAAGAAAAAUGAGCAAAUUAAUGAAUAUUGCACAAACAUUAUAAAUCUUUAUCAAAAUAUUUAUGAAAGCUUUAUCAAGUCUUUAAUACACAUUAAUAUUUGUGAUGAUUGAUAAAAGAAUUAAAAAGAGUAAAGGGUAUAGAAAUAAAUUUAUUAAAGAAUUAACAAUUUGUUUAAACUUAUUUUUGUUACAAUUUAGACCAAAAAAAAUAUUGGACUUCAUUGAGUUUCUCUAUAAUUUUUUUAUCAGGCUUGAAGUUAUGACUCUGAGUUUGAAAACCGCAAAAUUCACAAAAAUUAUUGAAGAAACACUAUAAACAAAUAAACGGCAUCGUCAAAAAUGAAAUCAUAUUUGGCUAUAGUGAUCAAGCAAACAAAAAAAAAGAAGCAUAUUAAAUACCUAUAAUCAAUGGAUUCUAAUUGCAUAGAGGCGACACUUAUACUUUCUCUAUGUUUGUUCAUCAAUGAGAGUGAUUAUUUUGCGCUUUCCUUUCAGAAUUGUUCUUGACACCUAGUUUGGGAAAUGCUAAACAGGGAAAUAACUGUAAUAUUAAUCUAAUGCAUAUUAACAUGGAUAAGAUGUAUGCGAAUAUAGUUAUAUAUAACUUAUGAAAUGAAGGUAACAUAACUGAUUUUAAGCUAAAGAAAAUGUACCAUGACUUCUAAUUUAUCUUUCUAUUAUCUUCCUAUAAAGUCUAGAGAAAUGCAUGCAUGUGCAUUAUAUGUACCCCGUUGACCAAUUAACAUUUUUGAAACAAAUGAAAAUUAAGCAUCACUCCCGCAUGUGCAUCUAUAGCUAACACCAUUUGACAUUGAUGUCUUCGAACAUUUGGUGCAACUCUCAUAAUACCAUCCAAACUGGUUAGGAUUGAAUUUAGUUGUUUUUCCAAAUAGUGAUGGAGUAUGUAUCCUAACACAAAUUAUGCACGUGAAAUAAAGAAUAGUGCAAUAUGCAUUUUUAAUUUGUGCGUAAAAAAAUUCAAAGCAUGUUUGUGAAAAAAAAAAAAAAAAACAGACCUUGACUAAGUUUAUAGAUUCAUCAAUUGGCCUAACUUGAGACAGAUUGGAAAAAUCGUUCUACGAAGUACUUUUUAAACUUUACUUUUUAAUCUAUCUGAGCUUGAGAAGUGUUAAGUUCACGACAACAAUUCAAGAAACAUGGUCAAUAAACAAUCAAAUCAGAUUGUGAAAUAAUAAGUUACUCUAACACUGUAUUGUGAAAUCAUAAUGCAAACUUACUAAGUCUUAAACUUUUCAACAACCGGAUGAUGUAGGUUGAUGAGCAGCCUCGAACCUGACCAAUUGUUACAUCUAUUUGCGUUGUCAUUGACUACAAAAUAGAAGCAAAGAAUUCAAGGUAAAUAAAUGGUAAAUGAUAAAGCUACAAAGUAUUUUACCCAUAAUGUUACAUCAACUAUAUUCCCAAUGCUCUAAAUCUCUAUAUCGAGUUAUUACAUGAACUCGAUCACCCUAAAUCCGAGAAAGAAACCAAAAAAUAUAAAUAAAUCAAAAUGUAUACUAAUAAGUAACAUUGAUAAAUCAUAAAAGAAAUUACUACAAAUCUUAACUAACUUAUCUAACCUUUGCAUCACAAAUAAUGAGCUUCAUAUGUUGAUUCUCAUUACUACCAGUCACAAUUCAAGAAUCCAGUACUCCAAAUCCUAUUUUCCAAACGUCUAAAUCAUUUUUGAGAUACUUAAUGUAGUCAUAAUCCCUUGACAUUGAAAUUCAUAUAUAGAAAUACAAUAAUACAUCAUUUAAUUUUAUUCCCUUUGUUCAUUCUGAUAUCGAAAGAAGCUAACAUAUUUCUAUGUGAUCAAUUUUUGUAUCAUCAAAUUAACCUGAUCUUAAAUGUACAAAUUUCUAUCAUCAACUUUCUGGACCCCAAUGAUAUGAUCAAAACAAAUUUACACCAAUCAACUUUUUGCACGGCUCAAUGAUAUACGAAAGAAUAAAUAAAAUAUGAAAACUGUUACAGCUUUAGGAUUACUCACAAAAACUAAAAUAAUUGAAAUGCAUCAAUUAUUUUCAACUCCUGUACCAGAAGCUAAAAUAACAAUUGUGUCAAAACCUUACCAUCAGUUAAAAUUCAGUCAUCAUGACCUCUACUAUACUCCACAUAACAAAAGACGAUUUUUCUACAGCCAUGCAACAUAACAAAUUUUGGUACAUAAUCCAAUAACAAUUGGAAAAAAAAAAAAAAAACCCUUAAAAUGCAUAAUCAUGAAAAAAGGAAGAAAACCAUCUAUGAUGAAGCAAAAACUAAAACGGUGUCGAAAAAUGAAGCCCUUAAGCCAUAAAAAUCAGUCAACUCAAGUCAUGCAUGGUCUCAGAACCAUGAAAAAAGAUAGAAAAUGACCUUUUUUUUUUUUGUGGUGGCCGGGGUUUGAACUCCGGACCUUGCAUAUUUUAUGCAUUGUCCUACCAACUAAGCUAAGCUCACGAGGACGAAGAAAAUGACCUCUUAUGAAGAAGAAAGUGAAACAGUGUUCCCGACUGAACUUAGAUACCGUUUGGUCAAGGUUUUUUACAUUAUAAAAGUUACUUCAAAACAAAGUAAAAAUAAAGGCCUUUAUGAAAGAAACUAAAGUUAUUUGGUUUUUUUGUUUUGUUAGUUUUAAAGCUAUUUAAGUUUAAUGUUGUUUGGCAAAAUAUUGUACAAACUUUGAAUUUAUUAUUUUUUAUAUGGUGUCUGGGGUUCGAACUCCGGACUUGGCAUGUAUUUAUGCAUUGUUCCUAUCAACUGAGCUAAACUCAUGAGGACAAAACUUUGAAUUUAUUAUUAAUUAACAUAAUAAAUAAAUAAAAUGUUUAGAAUAAUUUAUGAAGGCUAAAAAUGUUAAAAAAAUAAAAGAUAUUUUUUUUACAAAUACGAUAUUUACUCAAUAACGUUUAUUUUGUGUAACAUGAAUACAAAUUAAUAUCAUCAUAUAAAUAACUUGUUAAAUAUUUGAAUAGGAGAAACAAUUUAAGGAGUCUGGAAUAAUAAUAUAAAUAAUAUCAAAAUAUUUGAUUUUUUCUAUUUCAAUUAUACUCUAUAACAAAUUUCGUUAUAAGAAUACCAUAUUUUUUGUGUCUUUCAAAAAGAUAAGAAUUUAUAUUAUAUGAUAUUAUAUUUGUUACAUUGUUGGUGUCAUGGAAACAGAUAUGUUUAAUUUUUUUGAACAUGAAAAUGAUAUGCAUAGUUUGUUACGAUAUAAAGGUGCAAUAUAUAUAUAUAUAUACACCUUUUUAGGCAUCUAUACCUUUUUUUGAAGAAAAGACAUCUACAAUUUUACUUUUAAUUAAAAUUUAAAUUUUAUAAAAAUAAUCAUACGCAUUAUGCAACGCUAAAAAAAAUUAUACACAUUAGCGUAACAAAAAAACAGACACACAUAAAGAAUUACUCUAAACGCUAAUGUGUAUGUGCGUAUAUAUUUGCGAGGUUGAAGAAAGAAAAUACAAAUAUUUGAUAUCAUUAAAUGACAGCGUGAAUAAAAAUAUUUGUGAAGUUGUGAUGAUUAAACGAUAUUGAAAUUAUAAGUGAUAAAAAGAUAAUAAAAUUCCUUUGAAAAAAAGGUAAUAAAAUUAAAUGGAACCUCCUUAAAAAAAAUUAAAUUGAACGCUUCAAAUUAAAUGGAAGAAAAAAAUAUAUUGAAGUAUAAUAUUAAAAAAUAAAAAAAAAGGUUCCCAACGUGAAUUGAAGAGAGAUGCUUGUGAAAUAAAUUGUCGAGAAGUAGUUUUUUGAAGAAGCAUUCAACAACUUUUGGUCAAAGUUCAUUGCAUUCAAUUUUAUGCAUUAAAAAAGGUACAUUUUUUAGAAAGUACUUAAUUGAUAUUGUAUUUGACCUAACUUCUCCUUAAAAAUAUAGGGAAGUUGAAAAAAAAAACCGGGUCAAACGGUAUCUUAAUUUCCCACAACGGCAGUGUAGAAACAACUGAAUUUGGGAGAAAAAAAUUGGAAAAUAGUUAAAAAUAAAAAAAAUUGAAAAAUAGUUAAAAAAAAUCGGUGAGGUAGCACCUAACCAAACAACACUAAAAAAAAUUAUAUGCAUCAGCGUAACAAAAAAACAGACAGACGGACAUAAAAUAUUACUCUAAACGUUAAUGUGUGUGUAUAUAUUCGCGAGGUUGAAGAAAGGAAAUAAAAAUAUUUGGUAUCAUUAAAUGACAGCGUGAAUAAAAAUAUUUGUGAGGUUGUGAUGAUUAAACAAUAUUGAAAUUAAAAUAAUUAAUAUUGUGUUUGACCCAACUUCUCCUUAAAAAUUUAGAGAAGUUGGAAAAAAGUCGGGUCAAGCGAUACCUUAAUCUCCCACAACGGUAAUGUAGAAGCCACUGAAUUUGGGAGAAAAAAUUGGAAAAUAGUUAAAACUAAAAAAUAAAAAAAUCGGUGAGGUAGCACCCAACCAAGCAACACCAAAAAAAAAUUAUAUGCAUUAUCGUAACAAAAAAAUAGACAAACAGACAUAUAAUAUUACUCGAAACAUUAAUGUGUGUGUAUAUUCGCGAGGUUGAAGAAAGGAAAUAAAAAUAUUUGAUAUCAUUAAAUGACAACGUGAAUAAAUAUAUCUGUGAGGUUGUGAUGAUUAAAUAAUAUUUAAAUUAAAAUAAUUGAUAUUGUGUUUGACCUAACUUCUCCUUAAAAAUGUAGAGAAUUUGGAAAAAAGCCGGGUCAAACGAUACCUUAGUCUCCCACAACGGCAAUGUAGAAGCAACUGAAUUUGGGAGAAAAAAUUGAAAAAUAGUUAAAAACAUAAAAAUUGGAAAAUAGUUAAAAGUUAUUAAAAAUUAGAAAAUAAUUUAAAAAAUUGGUGAGGGGCAAAAUGGGAAAUUUGGCAUAAAAAAGAUGAGGUGGCACCAAACCAAACCCACCAAUUAGAAAAUUACUUAAAUGCCCAUUCCAGGGACAAAAUGGGAAUUUCAUAUGGCAUCAAUUUUAAUAGAGUAUAUAGACCACUCACAUUACACAAAUGUUGAAAUAUAUGAUGCAUAUUACUUUUUAAAUUUUUGGUUUAUAGUUGCAUUUUUUUUAGGGUUAAUAGUGUUUUUCACCCUUGUAAUAUAUGUCAUUUUCGGUUUUCGACCCUAUAAAAUUUUUAGUUUUAUUUUAACCCUCGUAAAAUUUUUAUUUUCCGGAAAAGACCCUUAAUAGGCCAUUCAAAAACCAAAAUUUCUUGAAAAAAAUUCUGAAAAUGGCCUAUUAGGGGUCUUUUCCGGAAAAUAAAAAUUAUACGAGGGACCACCUGUUGAGAAACCACCUGUACACAAGCCACCAGUUGAGAAGCUACCUGUUUACAAGCCACCUGUAGAGAAACCUCCGGUGUACAAGCCACCUGUUGAGAAGCCCCCAGUUUACAAAC
rnacentral:lncRNA from 1 species